rnacentral:lncRNA from 1 species
CAUGUGGACCUACCAGUUAGAGGGAGUCAUUUUUCUCUCUUCUUUUUUCCGUCCCCCCUUUGUGUUGACUUGGACAAUGGUGAGUGAGCUUAAAGUCCUUUCUUCAUUGACUAGAAAAACAGGAUACCUUUUCUUUUUUUGAGGGAAGAAAGGAUAUCAACUGAAUUCCCUUUUACUAGAAAAAGUUUUUUUAAAAAGCUCAAUCUUUUUUUAGGGAACAAAAAGCUCAAUCUAUUUUUAGGGAACAAAAAGCUCAAACUAUUUUCUUUUUGAGAAAAAAAAGCUCAAACUAUUACUAUCUCUCGGUUGAGCAAGAAAAAGGACCAAACUAAAGCCUGGACGUCGAGCUGGAGGCGUGGCAAGUUGGCCCAGUACGAGCGACCAUUAUGGGCCGAGCCCACGGGCCACGCCUCAUCACCGGCCCAUAACUAAACCCCGCGGCUUAUCCCCAACUCCCGGCGCUGCACUGACUGACACCACCACCAGUGGCAGCAGCAGCACAGCAAUGGCGACGCUUCUCCUCCCCUCCCACGCGGCGAGCCACCACCGCCGCGCCGUCUUCUCCGGCGGCGCGCACCACCACCCGCUUCUCCAGCCGGACCUCCUCGCGGAUGCCCUGCACGCCGCGGCGAGCAGGAGGCGCAGGCCCAUCGCGGUGGCGUGCCGGGCGGCGUCAGCGGCGGCCAGGGCCAAGGCUCCCCCGAGCGCGGGCGCGGGCCCGCCGCCGCAGGCGCUGGCCAAGGAGGCGCACAAGUAUUUCGACCACGCGGUCGUCAGCGUGCGCGCGGGCGACGGCGGCCACGGCGCCGUCCUGAACAUGCCGCCGGGUCCCUCCGCGGACUCGGCCCCCGCCAAGACCCGCGGCGGCGGCAGAGCCGCCGACAAGGGCAAGGCCAAGAAGGGCAGCGGGAAGAAGGUGUCGUUCAAGCGGAACUACGACGGGUCGGUGUCGCUGCCCGUUGGCGGGCACGGCGGCGACGUGGUGCUGUACGCCGACGAGGCGGAGGAGUCGCUGCUGGGGUUCCACGCCAAGGCCCGGCACUGCGCCAAGAGGGGCGGCAACGUGGGGGCCACCGGCACCCUCAGCUCCCGGAUGCACAACGGCUUCGCCGGGGAGACGCUCAGGAUACCCGUGCCUGUAGGUUUGUAGGCCUGGUGCUGUGAACGCGGAGCAUCUUUUUUGCUCUGUGGCUCUGUGACGUUAGCCGUUUGACUCUGAUGAUGCCUUGCCUGCUCGUUGGAUUGCAGGCACCGUCGUGAGGCGCAAGAAGGGGUCUGUUCUUGCUGAUUUGGCCCAUCCUGGUGAUGAGGUGCUCGUCGCUAGGGGUGGACAGGGCGGGGUGAGUUGGUAGAUGUUAUGCUGUAUUGUCGUGUUAUAAUGUUAAAACAGAGGGGUUCUGAAUUUCUAUCUCCAAAUGCGUACGACACUUAGCAAACAUUUAGACAACUAUGCCAGGAGCCAUGGAUUUUGCUUUAGCAAUAAGCAGACCAAAGUUAUUCCUUAUUAUGGACAGCACAAAUACUAUAGAGCUUAGUAACCAUUUCACCAUGAUGCUCUGGUUUAUGGCACUUGCAGGAAAACUGUGUAAACUGCUUGCUAAGUAUCAUGGUUAACCGAUUUUAACAUGUCAAGACGCAUUUGUGUAGUUUCAACCCAUUUAAAUUGAAUCAUUCUUCCCCUGAAAACCUGUAUCCGAUAUUAUACCCAAAGUGCAUUCUGGGGGCUGUAUCAGUGUCUAUAACUACUACUCCCUCCGUCCCAAAAUAAGUGUCUCAACUUUGUACUAGCUCUAGUACAAAUUUGUACUAAGCUCAAGACACUUAUUUUGGGACGGAGGGAGUAGAUUGUUACCGGGUAAGAUUGUGUUACCAAUGGAUGGCAUUUAGGACAGUAAAUUGAGCCUAAUCCCAGCCCUCGCACACCUCCUUCAUUUUUGGCCAUCCGUUUUAGUGAUUGAGGCAUUUCUGACCGUCGGAUCUGCUGUUUCUUACGACCUCCACUGCACGUUAAAAUUCCUGGCCCAAUUGUCCUAAAGGGCCGCUGCUCCGGGAGAAAAAUCUGAGUUUGUAUAUGACCAGGUGGGUAUGGAGACAAUUGCAAAUAUCCGUCACUGUGACUAGUUGAGAUGACGAUAACCAUGCCUAUUCCUCUGAAUACAGAUUCCAGUAUGAUUGAGUAUGUGAUUACCUCAUGUAAAACAGUGUAGUGGACACUUUUCAUUGUUUUCUGAUAUUCUUUUUCAUUUGGUAUGAUACAUAUGCUUGCGAAUAUUAUUACGGUUUUACAUAUUUACUUCCCUUUUGCAGAUUAGCUUGAUCGAUGCGCCCGAUUACAAAAGAGGGAAAGCCAUGGCUUUAUCGCCUAAUGUCAUGCGUGAUGUUACUGAUAAGGUAAGUUGUUACCUAUGAAAUAAUCCUGGAUUUGAUGGUAUAGAUUCGAUGCUGUUUUUACUAAUAAGUUGUCUUAUUGGGGUUGUUAAAUAGGGGAAGGAUUGAUUGGAAUAAAUGCUCUGUGUUUCUUAUAAUGCACUGCUUGUUAAGUGUUUAUUUUUAUUUUUGAGAAAAUGCAAAAGCUUUGUGGCUCAUUGUAUUGAAAAGGUAGGAACAAACUUAAUUAGUAAUUACACGCCCAAACUUAAGUAGUAAUUAUACAUACCCACUGGCUACACUAGUUCCAGAUAGAUAAUAAUACCACACGAACAAACUUGUGCAUCAGAGAGCAUAGUGUAAUCUAGUUCUCUGCCUUCACUCGAAGUUCACACACGUCCAGCAAUACUCUAGCUGUUUGCAUGUAUCCACUUGUUGUUCUGCCUAUCGCAAAUUGGUAAUGGGCGACAAACAACAGAUGCUCAGCCACUAAUGCCAAUGAGUACGUGCGGACUCUUGAACCACUGAACAUGUGAUAUUCAUUGUUGUUUGAUUCUAUACUUCUAUCAGUAUGGUGUAGGAUUAUCCAAAGAUUUCAAAUAACGACAUCUUCAUUUGCUGCUUCAUUGUUGUUUGGCUCUGUACUUCUAUCAGUAUGGUGUAGGAUUAUCCAAAGAUUUCAAAUAAUGACAUCUUUAUUUGGUGGCUACCAUUCUCCAUUUUCACCUCCAUUUUUUUGGUGAUUUUGUAUCAUCUCUUUUUUCUGUAGAUAUUAACUCAUGGCCAGCCUGGUGAGGAAAUAAGCUUGGAGUUAAUCUUAAGGGUGGUUGCAGAUGUUGGCCUUGUGGUAAGAGUGUUGCACUACUACGUACAUCUCAUGUGUAAUUGCUUUUGUUUUUCGUUUUAAGGAAAAAAAGUGUUCAGGUCAUUUUCUAUAUCCAAGAGUCGAGAUAUCGGAUGGCUCUGCUUUAGAAGGGUUGCAUUGCUAGGAGUCCUUUCUGUUUCACUUUUAGGGUUCAAUGUUGGAUUAUCAGGUUUUCACGGCUUGCUUCAGAUCUAUUUCUUUGGCAUAUCACAAUGUUGGCCUAAUCGUCUUCAUUUGCAUUUUCAGGGACUUCCAAAUGCUGGAAAAUCAACACUUCUAUCAGCUAUAACACUUGCAAGACCAGACAUUGCUGACUAUCCAUUCACUACAUUGAUGCCAAAUCUUGGCCGGCUUGGUGGAGAUCCUACUUUAGGGGCUAUGCAGUUUUCCUCUGGAGCAACAUUGGCAGAUUUGCCAGGUCUUAUUGAGGGCGCUCAUCUGGGCAAGGUACUGUUUUCUUUUGUGUUAUUUGCACAAUAUUGUUUGAAGAUAAGGUCUUGUUGCUUCCCGUGGUUAGCCUUUGUGGAUUCAUCAUGUGGUUUAAUUACACUGCAGGGUCUUGGUCGCAAUUUCUUGAGACAUUUGAGGAGAACGAGGGUAAUUGUCCACGUCGUUGAUGCUGCUGCUGAUGACCCUGUGAACGAUUAUAAGAUUGUCAGAGAUGUAAUUUCUAAUUGCUUUCAUCAUUCCUAAGUCAUAUUCUGUUUUGAAAAUUGCGAUCACAUUCAUUAUAUAAUCCGUCCAUAGUUAUAGCCCUGAACCUGGAACCUGGAAGCUGUUGUUACACUAGCAUCAGUAGUGAGACAGUUUGACAUGUUUUGUUUAUCAUGUGUUGGGGGCAUAAUCUUAUUGCCAAUUGUAUAUAGGAAGUUUAAUCAAUAGAACUAAAGGGAAGGGAUUGAAGUAGCGGAACUUGCACCAACAAUUCUGUUGGCUGUUAAGUGCUAGGAUCUAGCCAGUUGGCAACUUGGCAGGAUUUGUAGGAUAAUAGUUGCUUUGCUAAGGGAGUGUAAAAUCUUAUAUUUUGAAUGCAAGUCUUGUGAAAAACUGAAUCAUAUGUCUAUGUUUGUUUCUUAAGUAUUAUAACUUUUGUGUUGAAUGAUCACCUAACAACCAUCUCUGUACAGGAAUUAAGGAUGUAUAACCCCAAAUACCUGGAGCGGCCUUAUGUUGUGGUCCUGAACAAGAUUGAUCUUCCUAAGGUGCAAUUUCAUACUUAAUUUGAAUCAGACUAUGGUUUCCCUAGUUUUUAGCCUUUACUUUUCUAUUUCAACCAAUCUCCUGAAAGUUUGAUCUUUCUUGGCAUUGGUUGGAGUCCUAACAAUUGUUUCCCUCCUUAUAGGCCCAAGAUAUGUUAUCUUCAUUAGCACUUGAAAUAUCUUCAGUAGGCUGUGAAGAAUGCCACGACAGCAAUACCAGCAAAGAAAAGCUAAAUGAAAAUUUCAACAGACACCAUAUGUCAGAGGACGAUGAUAAGGAACUUGGGGACUAUCCAAGACCUCAAGCUGUAAUCGGUGCAAGCGUACUGUAAGUCUCCUCACCUGACCAACUAAACACAUGUUUUACUGUAUUCUUAAACAGCUCAUAAUAUUGGAUACUUGCUUAACCUGUGCACAAUGACACAAGCGUACUACAAGUGUACUUAAUCUGUUGUUCCUGUUUAAUACUCCCUCCGUCCCAUAAUAUAAGAGCGUUUUUGACACUAGUGCGCUCUUAUAUUAUGGGAGUAUUUGCUUAAGUUUGUGCUUGCAUUGCUGUUCAUACCACGAGUUUUCUCAAACAGUGCUUCAACUGUCCUCAAGUUGUACAAAUUGAACAUUUCUCACUUUAAUUUCCUCGGUGUUGCAAGAAGCUGUUCUUUUCUGCCGUUGUAAAAUCUCAUUUCCAUUGUUUUCCCACCCUUUGCAGGAGGCACAUCGGGAUCGACGAGAUGCUGAAGGAAAUCAGGACAGCCCUGGGAAAAUGCUCCGAUCACAUGUUACCAGGACCAUGAAUCUGAAAGCCUGCACGCUGGAGCCCUUAACAUCAGUCCAACACCUGGAAAGGAUCGAGACGGAUCGACUGGUUCUUCAAAAACAGCGUCAGUCGAGUCUGUCCUUUGCUCAUGACACCGUUGGCAAUUCCUGGAGGACAAAAACUACCAGUCUGAUUGUCCAAAAUCCUGACGCGGAGCGCUUCAGCGUCUUCCACGUUAGCUUGAGCACGAGCAGUUGCAGAUAUCCAGGCUACACCUCCAUCUGUAUUCAGUGCCAGAGAUAGAAAUAAAUCAGUUGUGUGAAAUAUUGAAAAACUAAUGGGGACUCGAAUAUAUUCGUCUGCACGUAUUAGUGAAGAUUUGAGAAUCAUAUCUUCCGUACUAAAUGACUAGUAGAAAUUGUCUAUAUGGACUGAUUAAUUGUUCUCUCUGCUUUACUUAUAUAGCUGAGUAACUGACAAAGCUUUGGCCUUUACAAAUAGUUUGUUUAAUGCUCAUAUUUGUUCUUCAUUUACACAUUGUCCAUAUCCAUAUGUAUGUUGUGCUAUAUAUUGAAAACUAGUGUCAACAAAAAUGUGCACAUUUUGUGAAGAUUUGUUUGAUAUCCACAUUUCUUUUAAUGAAUUGCUAAUAGAAAAUGAUCAACAUAAACAACUCAUCCCUUGUAAAUAUCCCUCUUGGCUAAUUUAGUAAAAAUAUCACAAUUUUUUUUUUGAAUAAUUUUAAUGCUCAUAUUUAUUAUCUUUCAUUUGCAUCUUGUCAUAUGUAUUCAGUGCUAGAGAUACAGUGAGAUAUUGAAAAAACUAAUGCGUGCACAUAUACAUUUAUGUGUACAUAUUUGUGAAGAUUUGUGAUGCACAUCUUCCAUGGAACCAGAAAGUAAACGUGUUCUGCAGAUAUACAUGCAUGGACAUUUUCAAAAUUGUACUAAGGCAACGACAAUUAAUUUGGAUCGGAGAGGAUGCGUUCUUUCAUAUCUUCUGAAAUGAAUAUCUAGCAGAAGACCAGACUCGUCCUUUUCAUUUACAUUAGACCGGACUUGUCCUUUGUUGUUAUUUGAUCUCCGGGUAAUAUAACAAGACAAAGUUUUCGCCUUCCUAAAUAUUUCGUUUUAAUGCUCGCAUUUAUUAACUUUCAUUUACAUCUCGUCCAUAUGUACUAUUCAAUAAUAGAGAUGUGAAGAUAUAAGUUGUACCACUUUAUUUGCGAGAUUUGGAACUCACUCUUCCCUGAUAAAUGGCCACCGGAAAUUCAUCUAUAUAAAGGACUCAUCCCUUGUAAUUCUCUUGCAUCUCAUCAUGUCUAAACUUAAUCUAGGAUUACAUAUUCUUGCCAUAUAUGUUGUUUUCAUUGCUCACCAAAUCCAUGGAGGUGGAUUGCAUCCAACCAACCAAAAGGUAAACGUAUUGUUCCUACAAAUUUGAGUAAUUAGUAGUUCGAACCAAGGGGUGAUAUAGCAGUGAAAAUAGAAAGGAUUGUUCAUUCUAUAGAAAAAAAUUAAUCCGUACCAAAAGAAGGUGAAAAUAGAGAAAUGCAACUAUGUGAUGAACUACAACCAUUUCUCUCAUAGCGAAGGUGUAGGAGUUUGGAGUAUAGGAGUUGCUGGGGUUAUUUGAACUGGAUUUUCUUUUAAUUUCCUAAUUUUCAUCUUUGUACUAUGUAUGAGUGGUUUUUUUAUAUGAAUGGCAAAUCUGCAUGGAUCGAUUGCCACAAAGGCAUGGGGAUAGGGCUGGUGCCUCUUAGAUUCGAUGCAUGGUACAUGAUUGGCUGAUUUUACACAUUAUAGUUUGUUUUCUAGUCAUUAAAAUGUAUAUUUUGUACUCUACAUGUUACAUUUUAAGCUAUGCGUAUUUAGUUUUACCUUUAAAAUGUAUAUUUUGUGCACGGAAGGUUUGUCAGUCACCCGCUAUAACUAUUUAAGCUAUGCAUAUUUAGUUUUUCUUUAAAAUGUAUAUUUUGUUGUCCACAUGUUUUUUUUAAAGCAACAAAAGCCGAACAAGCAAUAUCUGAAUUGCAUACUCACUCUGAAGCCUUACAGGCAUGGUAUGCACAUGCUUCUCCAUCAAAAAAGUCCAAUGACAUCGUUUAUGUGAGUCACUCUAUCCUGGAACUUUUAACAAGCCAAUGUUUUCUUACCGUCAUUUUCAAAGUUUUUAACUUUUUGCCUUCUACAGUUUGCGACACAUAGCACACAUCCCGGUAGCUACUAUGGACUUGCUGUUACAAUGGAUGUGUACGGACACAAUAUCAGUGCUGGUCAUAUCAUAACAUCUAUUUGGAUUGCUAAUAUGGAGGGUGAUCCAAAGACAGAUGAGAAUGCAAUUUGGGUCGGGUGGCAAGUAAGUCGUAAUUUACAUAUAUUAUGAUUUUUACAGAUUGUAGCCAUCUUACCAUCAUUAAUUUGGACGUACUCGAUGCCAUUUAUAAUGCUCUUAAUGUCUCUUCAGUUUCUUCCCAGGUUGACCCAAAAAAAUAUGGGGACUCACAUACUCACUUCUUCACGAGUUGGACGGUAUGUUUCUGCCUUUUCACUCAAACUAUGUUCCUCAACUGUAGCACACAAAGCUAGAAUAUCUAGUGACCAUAUAACUUUGUGUGAAACAGAGAGACACAUAUCAUACAGGGUGCUAUGACAUGGACUGCCCUGGUUUCCAGCUUGUUAAGGGGUCAAAAAUCGCUCCGGGUGGCACAAUACAACCAGUCUCUCAUGUUCAUGGUGUACGUCAAAAGAUUACAAUUAAAGUGUUUAGGGUAAUUAACUAUAUCUUGCUUGUAUACUUUCCAAUUGUAAGCAUAUUGAUCAUAAUGAUCUAAUCACAUGUUGCUGAAUUUGUGGCAUACAUUACUCAAAUUGCUUCUAUUACAUGGCAGGAAAAAUCCACGGGAAAUUGGUGGAUACACUACGGCUUCAACAAGGCCCCAACACCGGUGGGCUAUUACCCAGCAAAAUUGUUUGACAAGUUAUCGAAGAAGGCGACCCAAAUUUCAAUUGGUAGCGUUGUUGGGGGGAGUCCGUCUAUCCCAUCCCCUCCAAUGGGUAGUGGAUUCUUGCCGUCUGAUAAAGCUGCAUUAAUCACAGAUAUUUCACUCAUUGGGGAAGAUGGCAGGAUGACACCUUUUACUGUGAAUACAGACAGGUUACAGAGUAAGAGUAGUUGUUACUCUAUCUCACCUAUCCAAGGUGCAAAAUGUUCCUAUGGAGGUCCAGGAGGUUGCUCCCGCUAGCUUAAGUAGAUCUUACUCAUAUAAGUACAUGGAUGUGGUGCCGUGAGUCAUGUAAACGCUUAAGAAUAAUGAUUUGGCUUCAAACUCGUGUUCUUUUGUUUCAAGCAUGGGUUAAGGGUACAUCUUGAACCUUUUCAAACCAUAUACAUUAUGCACAUAACCAAAGCCAACAAAGAUAAUCCAACUUCUACCGAUACUUAAAACCAAGCUAACUAAAUAUCCAGCCGCAAUCUUCACAACCGACAAAACCACGCAUGGACGCCACCACAUGGCACGCUAAGAGCCCAGGAAAACCAUAAGCCUUAUAAUUUGGAGGUGACUGGUCAGCACUUCAAUCAGACGAAAUAUUGUGAGUGAGAAGGUAGUGAUGCAGUAAAAUGCAUGACAAAUAUAUUCGUGUGUCAAAAUGAUCUUGCAUACCAAAAAAGGCUUUCGCCCCGCUUUAUAUAUAAAGCAAUGAUCAUCAACACAACGGUACAAACGCACGUCACCACACACGCACACACCCAAGGCAGGAUACAUAGGCACUGAACGCAGCAACACCACCCCCAUCUACGAAGAGAUGAAGCCGCAUACGACGAACCGUGGACUCCAAGGCGGCGCCUUCAGGAAGGAUACGACACCGGAGCGCUGCCGCCGCCCGACCCGAGGGUCAGAAUUUCCCCUGGAGCAACACAACGGGCAAUGAGAGCUGCGACGACGCCUUCAAGAAGGGAACGAGCUUCUUCGCCGCUGCCGGUCCGUCCGAGGAUAGAACAGAUUUUCACCCCGGCCAACACUCACCGCCAACGAACGCCACACCCCGGCCACCACGCCGCCCACACGGCCAUGGCAGCACCAAGCCACGGGCUCCGCCCAUGAGCACCGCGCUACCACCACCAGGGCCGCCGCCCCGGCAUCCAAGACCAAGACACCACCUCACCCGAGACCCGUCGCUACCCCAACCAAAGAGACGAGUGGAAAGACCCGACCUUUCGCAUCCCUGAGCGGCCCCUGACAUGGAGACCCAAUAAGCCGGUCAAAAAUGGCCACCAUCGCCCCGUCCCGCAGCACCGGGCGCGAGACAAGCUCGAUCCUGCCGUCGGGCACGAGACGAGCUCGGUCAUGCUGCCGGGCACGAGACGAGUUCGGUCCCGCGGCACCGGGCGCGAGACGAGCGAUGGCCCACAUCUAGGAGCGGGCCAGCCCUUCGACGCAAGUAGAGCCCGGACGACGAGGAGAUGAAGCAAGGUCAAAACGGCCCGACAGCAAACGGUCCGACACCGGAGAAGCCGGCCGCCGCCGCGGGGAGAGCCGCCGUCCACUGUGUAGCCGAUGCGCCACCGGGAGGCCACCACCUCGGACCUCCCCUCGCCGCUGCCCACGACCGGAGCAACAGCCACGCCCGACCGCUGCCCCAACCCACGCUGCUUGCCGGAAAUGUCGCGUCAGAUUCGGCCGGCACGCCCCCACCUCCACCAGCUCCAGCCCACCUCCGGCCCCGACCGAGAGGAGAGGGAGGCCGAGCCAGAGCCUGUAGAGAAGGGAUCCACCAGAUCCGCCCGCAGCAGCCCGUGGCCAGAUCCGAACCACCGCCGCCACCACGGGCACGCAGCUGCCGCGCCGCCGCCGUCACCCACCACACCGCCGUCGGGAGCCACUGCCGCCGCACCACCGAGCCCCGCGUAUGCCCGCCGCCGCCGCCAGAACAGGCCACCCCGCACCGGCCAACCCCCGAGCGGCGGAGAAUGGGGCCCGCCGCCAGCCACCGUGAGGGGCUUUGCCCCGGCCAGCGGCGAGGGCGGGGAGGAGACGAGAAGGGGUGAAGCUGCGCCGCCACCCGAGUUGUCCGGGGGGGAGGGGGAGGGGGGUGGACGACGCGGGGGCUGCCUAAGUCUUCUGUUCACAUUCAAGUCAAUGAUCUCGCAUAUAAUCUUUUUUAUAAACUACUGCUACACACACAUAAGAGUAUGGUUGUAUACGACAAUUGCUUUUGCCUACUAAGUCUUGAGCAUUUCCCCAUUGAUUUUGUUACUCUUGGAGGUUGGAGACGUGCUCCGGUGAGGAAUCAGUCGUUGUCAUUCACCCUAUAAAGUUUGUGAGGGUUUGAAGGCCAUCUAAAGGUCUACCGCUAGUGGUUGAGAAUCACAUUCGUUGUGAUAUUUCAAGAAGAACAGGGUGAACCUUUUUGGUAACACCCAUCCCUUCAAUGGUGAUUAGCUUCCUUCCAAGGAAGUGAACAUCGGGAUACAUCCUCAUCUCCGAAGUUUCGGUUAUCUCUAACCCUAGCUCUUUAUUUGUGGAUACUUUGUCUCUUGUCCUUACUUGUUAUAUCUCACUGUUAUUACUUGCCUACCAUUUUGUUGUUGUUCAUUGUAUUGGUAGCACUAGCAUCAUCUUUGCAAUAGUUAGACCCACUUUCAUAUUCCGCAUAUAGCCUAAAAUUUCUAAUAUAGUACUUAAAAUUUGUAAUUGUACCUAUUCACUCUCCCUCUAGGUCCAUCCCAAUGCUUUCAUUGUCAAAAGUGAAAUUCUGAUCCCGAACUCACAUGCACCUUGGUGAACAGUAAAAACCGAAAACAUAGUGACAAGAUUUAAAAAAUCUAUCUUUUUUUUGGCAACAAACAUUGAUGAGUUUUUUACCCGCAUACAAAUUUUUGCGAUGAAAUGACAUUCAUGGAGGUCUGGGCGAAAAUAAAAUAAAAUAGAUACUAAAAAAUGCUUAAAAAUAUUCCUUUUUAUCGAUUUUUUGUCCAGACCUUCACGAAUGUCAUUCCAUCGCAAAAAUUUGCACGCAAAUAAACAUUCAUCAAUGUUUAUAAAAAUAUUUAGAUUAUCUUUUAAAACUUUCAACUACUUACUGGAGUACCUUUUUUUUGGACUUCUACUCUUCAUACGGUGCCUCAGUCCCAGAAACUCCAUGUACCAGCGCCGCCAGAGGGGUCCACCACGUAUGAAAUGCUAAGCGGCGACUGAAGGGCGAUUGCGAGGCGAUCUCCCGACGGCGCUAGGGUUAGGGUUUUGGCAACGGGGGUGGUGAGAUUACGGUGGUGUCUGGGGCGGCAACCGCGUCUCCCUCGACAUGGACUGGUGUAGCCUUCCUCCUCCAUGGUGCGGAACAAUGGCAGAGAAGGCGAAGGUGCACCCUGCGGAGAUCCCGACGAUAAAGGCAAACCCAGCGGCGACAGCGACCCGGGGGAAAGCAACGAGUGGGGGUUCUUCUAGGUCCCCGAUCACAUGCAAGACGCCGGAUCCUACCGCAAGCCUCUCAGCUAGGAUGGGAGGGAUGGUGUUGUUGGAUAAGGAGGCGGAGGGUUUCGUCUUCGAGGAACCAGAUCAGAUCUUGCCCAAGAACAUGAAGUGGUCGGCGGUGGGAAAGGCGUUCUCCCCGCGACCGCUGAACAGGACUGUGCUGGAGAAAACGAUGCAGAGGGCUUGGGGUCUUCACCAUGAGGCUCGGUUCUGGGACAUGGGCGACAACAUCUUCGUUGUGCACUUUGGGAGCGAAGGGGAUUGGAGACACGCAAUGAAUAAUGGACCUUGGCAAUAUGACUUCAAUGUCCUGGCCUUGAAGGAGUACGAGAGCAAUGUUCGGCCAUUGGAGAUGGUCUUUGAUAGGAUAUAUGUGUGGGUUAAAAUCACUGAUCUCCCACCAGGCAAGAGGAUGGAUGCUUUCGGAAAGGCAUUGGGCAAUUGGCUCGGUGAAGUUGUUAAAGUGGAUGUUGACAAGGACGGAAUGGCUAGAGGGAACCAGCUGCGUGUCAGAGCAAGGAUCAUGCUUUUUGAGCCUUUAGUGCGGGGGUUCUUCCUCAAAAACUCCCAGGAGGACAAAGUGGGUAAUUGGUACGAUUUUCACUAUAAAAAGAUCCCCCACUUCUGCUUUGAGUGUGGGCGUUUGGUGCAUGAAAACGGACGCUGUGUCCCUCCUGUUGACAAAGCAGCGCAAUGGGGGGGAUGGCUAAGAGCAUCACCGGGGAGGAGCACUGGCUCCAAGAACGAGGUGAAAGGAGGGAAAAACAACAAUGCUAGCACCAGUAGCUUUAUGAGUUCACAAUCCAAUGGAAACAAUAGGGAGCAGGACAGCCAUGCUCGCGCUCGAGAUGUCCCAGUGAAGCGCAAUCUGAAUGCCGAGUUCGAUCGUCCGGGGGAUGCCCGCACUGGUGGGAAGAACCGGCAAGAGAAAGGGAUAAUUAUUUCCCCAAGCAAGGAGAAACUUAGGGGCGGCUGGCCAGAAGAGAGAGAUCUGGGAUAUGAAAUUGAGAGGAAGAAGGAGAGGAUCUCAGGGAACAGCUUAAGGCGCAACAGUGGCAAAGGGAGUAUGAGCGGAAGCAAUAUGAAGAAAGGAGCCGGUGGGAGAGGGGGUCUUCGAGCAGAGGAGGCGAGAACAGGCAGGGGUACCAUUCAUCCUACCCAUAGGAGAGGAAGAGGGGGUACUAUGUCCGAAAGCCUCGGCAAGAGUUCGAUGAAAGAAGGAGGGGAGACAGCCCCCAAGGCACACCUAGCUCAAGGAAAAGAAGGCCAUGUCAGAUGUGGGUGCCAAAAGCGGAUGGAGAUGGGCAUGAGGGGGAUGAAUCCUUUAUUCAUGACACUAGACAGAAGACAUCCUCGGUGUUUGAUCGUAUUGAAGAGACUGACAAGGUAACGGCGGACCCUGCCAUGGGGCGGUGCUGCCAAGAGCAAUGAUUAUCUUUGCCUGGAACUGCCGAGGCUUGGGGCUGGACUCGGCAGUUGGCGAGCUACGAGACCUGAUUAGGUCAUACAACCCAGAGGUGGUAUUUUUAUCAAAAACUAAAAAAAGAUCGGGAGCGAUGGAGAGACUCAAGUGGAGUUUGGGGUUCACAAAAGGGGUGGCGGUGGACUGCAAAGGAAAGAGUGGAGGAUUGGCGCUAUGGUGGAGAGAUCAUAUUGAGGUCAUAGUUAAGCCGUGGUGCCAAUAUUACAUAGAUGCUACGAUCGCGUGUGAUGGAGCCUCCUUUAGAUUCACUGGAAUCUAUGGAGAGCCAUGUGUGAUAAAAGAUCGAGGACAUGGGAUGCACUGCGCUAUCUUCAUACCCAGGAUAACUUGCCAUGGCUAUGCGCGGGCGACUUCAAUGAGGCUCGAAGCCAGGAUGAGCAACUAGGUGGUAAUCCGAGAAAUAGAGGACAGAUGGAACACUUUGAGGACUGCCUAACCGACUGCGGUUUGGCAGAUCUCGGCUUCUCUGGGUACCCGUUUACAUGAAACAACAAGAGAGAGGGUGCAGAGAAUAUACAGGUACGGCUGGACCGGGCGACGUGCAACGGGGAUUUUGCUCAGCUUUUCCCGGCAACUGAAGUGAUGCAUGUCAUGACGGAGGAAUCAUACCAUCAGGCGCUAGUCAUAAAAGCAUUGAAAACGACCGGGGACAAAGGCGAGCGCGGGCAGCGACCAUUCAUGUAUGAGGCAGCAUGGGUGCGUCAUGAGCAGUAUGAGACAAUGGUGGCCGCUGCAUGGGAGGAGGCACAUGCAGCCAAUCACGGAGGAGGACGGCUAGCGACGACAUGCAACAGCCUACGGGCCGCCACGAGAUCCAUGCAGGAGUGGAGCCGAAGGGUUUUUGGCUCUAUCAGGAAGCAAAUUGGGCAUCUCAAAGUGCAACUGAUCGAGGCAAAAGAGAGUGCUGCGAGGACGGGCUACAGACAGGAGAUCAAGGAGAUCGAAGACCAACUACAUGAGCUGUAUGAGAGAGAGGAGGUGUUUUACAAACAACGUUUGCGCGUAGACUGGUUGCAGGAGGGCGAUCAAAACACUAAUUAUUUUCAAAACCAUGCCUCACACCGAAAACGUAAGAACACAGUCAAGGCACUUCGGCGUGAGGACGGGUCAAAGUGUUCGGAUGAUGAAGGGAUGAGGAGGAUGGCUGCCUAGUUCUAUGCGCACAUAUUUGCUUCUGAGGGCUCGAGGGAUGGCGAAAACGUGCUGCAACACAUUGAGGAAUCUGUGACAGAGGCGAUGAAUGCAAAACUUGAUGCUCCGUUCACUGAUGCGGAGAUAGAGGCUGCUCUCUUCCAGAUGGGGCCUAUGAAGGCGCCGGGCCCGGACGGCCUCCCGACCAUGUUCUACCAACGGCACCGGGCGCUUGUUAAGGACGAUGUGUGUGCUGCGGUUCGUGAGUUCCUCGCCGGAACUGCGGCCCCGAUGGCUUCAAUGACACGAUAAUUGUAAUGAUCCUGAAAGUAAAGUCACCUGAAGUAUUGGCGCAGUUCCGCCCUAUCAGUUUAUGUAACGUACUAUAUAAGAUUGCGGCGAAGGCACUGGCCAAUCACUUGAAGGUUGUUCUUCCUUUCAUGAUCUCUGAGGAGCAGAGUGCGUUUGUGCCAGGCAGACUUAUAACUGAUAAUGUGCUGGUUGCCUAUGAGUGUGUCCAUGCUAUUAGGAAGAGGAAAAGGAGGAAAACUAUCUGUGCGGUCAAGCUAGAUAUGAUGAAGGCAUAUGACAGAGUUGAGUGGGAUUUUCUUGAACAGAUGCUGUUGAAGUUUGGCUUCUCUGGUCACUGGACAGAGAUGGUCAUGAGAUGUGUGAAGUCUGCAAAAUUCUCGGUGAAACUUAACGGUGGGCUCUCUGAGAGUUUUGGUCCCACCAGAGGGCUUUGACAGGGGGAUUCGCUUUCUCCAUACCUAUUCUUGUUUUGUGUGGAGGGCUUCUCUGCAUUACUGAAGGAGGCUCAGAGAGAGGGAAACAUCAAGGGGGUGUCGUUUGGAGGUGGUGGCCCAAUGGUCACCCACCUUCUGUUUGCCGAUGAUAGCAUGGUCUUUGUGGAGGGUUCAAGGGAAAAUUUCGAGACUCUACACUCCAUAUUGCAUGACUAUGAAGCCGCAUCGGGCCAGAAAGUAAACCUUCAUAAAUCAGCGAUCUUUUUUGGUAAAGACACCCCGGAUGAAGACAAGAACGAGCUCAAGCAUGUGCUUGGAAUAACGGAGGAGGCCCUGAGUGAAUGAUAUUUAGGCCUCCCUACGGUAGUGGGGAGGGCUAAGGAUGGUACAUUUAAGUACGUCAAGGAUAGUGCUAAGGGCAAAGUAUCGGGAUGGAAGGGUCAAGGUUUAUCAAAAAUGGCAAGGGAGGUUUUAGUCAAAUCCGGACUGCAAUCCACACCAACUUUUACCAUGAGCUGUUUUCAACUCACGAAGAAAAUGUGCGGGAAACUGUCAUCUAUUGCUUCAAACUUCUGGUGGGGUGAAACAGAUGGUCAUAAGAAGGUGCACUGGAUUGGGUGGGACAAAAUGUGCAUGCGAAAGCAUGAAGAAGGGCUGGGCUUUAGGGACCCGGAAGCGUUCAACCAAGCAAUGUUUGCCAAAGCAGCUUGGCGCUUGCUGCAAGUGCCAAAAUCGCUGUGUGGACGAGUUCUAAAGGCAUGGUAUUUUCCCGAUGGGUCGAUUCUUAAUGCAACGUGCCCUGCCGGCGGAUCAUACACUUUCAGAAGUAUCUUGCAUGGCCACGACCUCCUUGUUGAUGGCUUGAUCUAGCGUAUUGGCGACGGUUCACGAGUAUUGAUCCACCAUGAUAAUUGGCUCCCAAGUAGCGGGAGCCUCAAGCCACUGGGCCAAAGCUACAUCGCAGGUAUUACACGUGUUGGGGAUCUGCUCGAAGCCGAUGGCUUCUCAUGGGACAAACGGAAAGUGCAGGAAAUGUUCGCCCCGGAUGAAGCUCAAGAUAUUCUUCAAAUACCAGUUGGGGGACCGGGGGUGCAAGACUACCAAGCUUGGAACUACACCAAGAAUGGUAUCUUCACGGUCCGCUCGGCAUACCAUCUACGCAUGAGCCAGAAGAGGGUAAGAUCAGGACGGCCGGAGUCUUCAUCCUCGGUGGCGGAUCACAAGUCUUGGCUGAGCCUUUGGGACAUGAUCGCGUUGGGCAAAGUUAAAAUCCAUAUGUGGAGGUUGAUUCGGAAUGGGCUUGCUGUGGGAGCGGAACUAUUAAGGAGGAAGAUCAAGCAGGGUGUUUUUUGCACUGCGUGUGGGCAGGAAGAAACAAACUACCAUAGAUUCUGGGGUUGCUAUCAUUCUGCUAAGUUCUGGAAGAUAAUGCAGUCAGAAUUGGGGGUACCGGUGGCGAUCCCGCCGAAGUCAGCUUGCUCCCAGAGUGCGUUGUCGAGAUGGUUGAUGUCGUGGUUCGCGGAGGCUACGGAUGACGAGCGAGCGAUCAUGGUUCAGGGUGCAUAUGCGCUCUGGCUAGCGGGGAAUAAUGCACGCGAUGGGCAGCGGAUUGAGGAGGCAGAGAUGAUAGAAAAAAGAGUCUUCCAUCUAAUGGGCGAGUGGCAAUCGAUACAUGGCCGGAAGAGCAAGCAAAACACACCGGCGGUGAAGGAGAAAUGGAGGCCCCCGGAGGAGGGGUGGGUGAAGGUAAACGUCGACGGAGCCACAUCGAAAGGGGGGACAGCGGUGGAGCCGGGCUGGUAUUUCGGAACCAUGAUGGAGCUUUCUUGGGAGGCCUUUGCCAUGUCCUUCCACUGGGAAGUGACCACGCAAGGACUGAACUCCUGGCGUGCAGAAGGGCCGCACAGGUGGCUGAGGAGCGGAACAUUGCCAACCUACAUAUCGAGAUGGAUUGCAAGGAGAUCGUAUGUAAACUUCAAGGCACGCAAAAGGACUUCUCACCGCUGGGGCCUGUGGUGGAGGAGGUGAAGCGUCUGCUGGCCUCGAGGGAGAGCUGGAAGAUUUCGUGGGUUAGGCGUGAUGCUAAUAAAGCUGCCCACUUGUUAGCUAGGGAAGCAGUUUCAACUAAGUUAAGCAAGGUGUGACUCCAUGUGCCCCCAGAUUUUAUUUUGCAGACUAUUUCGGACGAAAUCCCCGUGUGGGGUGCUUAAAUAAAGGUGUGACUGAAUUAAAAAAAAAACUCCAUGUACCCAGCUCUCUUUCUUCGUGCGAUCGUGCGCCAGACUCGCCGCCGUCUCCAUCUACCCGCACCAACCAUGUACCCAGCAUCUCUGCUUAGCCAUCUGGCCACUGCCUCUGUCUCUCGGCGGCCACGUCCGAUACGUGGCCCCACCUGUCCGCAAGCUCUAGUGCCUCGGUCCACGACGGAGCGAGCAGCGGCGGUGGGUUGCGGGAGGGAAUGAUGCGGUACCGCAUAUCUAGGUUUUUGCGUGCUCUGGCCGCCGCAUCCAUCUGCAGUUCCCCUCCCCCCACAUCACCCAUGUCAGAGUUACGACAUAUAUCUACAUCAGGCGGCGAGGUGUGCUACGUCUUGAGCUUGCGUUGGUUUUCCUUGAAGAGGAAAGGGUGAUGCAUCAUAGUAGCGUAAGUAUUUCCCUCAGUUUUUGAGAACCAAGGUAUCAAUCCAGUAGGAAGCUCCUAGAAAGUCCCACACACCUACACAAACAAACAAAGAACUCGCAACCAACACAAUAAAGGGGUUGUCAAUCCCUUCAUGGCCACUUGCGAAAGUGAGAUCUGAUAGAGAUAAUAUGAUAAGAUAAAUAUAUUUUUGGUAUUUUAUAAUAUAGAUGCAAAAAGUAAAGAUGCAAAUAAAAGUAGAUUGAAAGCUUAUAUGAUAAAAGAUAGACCCAGGGGCCAUAGGUUUCACUAGUGGCUUCUCUCAAGAUAGCAUAAGUAUUACGGUGGGUGAACAAAUUACUGUCAAGCAAUUGAUAGAAAAGCGAAUAAUUAUGAGAUUAUCUAGGCAUGAUCAUGUAUAUAGGCAUCAUGUCCGUGACAAGUAGACCGACUCCUGCCUGCAUCUACUACUAUUACUCCACACAUCGAACGCUAUCCAUCAUGCAUCUAGAGUAUUAAGUUCAUAAAGAACAGAGUAACGCAUUAAGAAAGAUGACAUGAUGUAGAGGGAUAAACUCAUGCAGUAUGAUAUAAACCCCAUCUUUUUAUCCUUGAUGGCAACAAUACAAUACGUGCCUUGCAACCCUUUCUGUCACUGGGUAAGGACACCGCAAGAUUGAACCCAAAGCUAAGCACUUCUCCCAUGGCAAGAAAGAUCAAUCUAGUAGGCCAAACCAAACUGAUAAUUCGAAGAGACUUGCAAAGAUAACUCAAUCAUACAUAAAAGAAUUCAGAGGAGAUUCAAAUAUUUCUCAUAGAUAAACUUGAUCAUAAACCCACAAUUCAUCGGAUCUCGACAAACACACCGCAAAAAGAGUUUACAUCGAAUAGAUCUCCACAAGAGAGGGGGAGAACAUUGUAUUGAGAUCCAAAAAGAGAGAAGAAGCCAUCUAGCUAAUAACUAUGGACCCGAAGGUCUGUGGUAAACUACUCACAACUCAUCGGAGGGGCUAUGGUGUUGAUGUAGAAGCCCUCCCACUACAAAAAAAAUACACUUCCGUGAUGAUACGUGUUUGUCACAGUAGGUCGCGUUUUUUGUCAUGCAUGUACAUCCAUGACAAAUUUAUGACAGAAUCAAGAUAGUGAUACCUGUGCUGUCGUAGAAGUGUUCCAUGACAUUACCAAAAUUAUCAUCACGGAAGUGUCCACUUCCAUGACGAUAAAUCGCGCGUCACAGAAGUGCUUUCGUCAAGGGUGACCGACACGUGGCAUCCACCGUAACGGAACGCCGUUAAGCUAUCGGGUCGGGUUUUGGAUCCGAUAACCCGUUAACAGCCCCGACCAAUGGGGAUUUUCCACGUGUAAAAUCAUCAUUGGCUGGAGGAAACACGUGUCGGCUCAUUGUUGGGACAGAUGUCAUCCACUCAUUGGACAGAAGGCGCCUAUGAUACGUCGACACGUGGCCCGGCCCAACAGAGGCCCAUUCCCGUGGAAAGGCCGGCCCGUUUGACUUGGUCAAAAGGUGACAGGCCGGCCCAUGGAAAGCCUGUUAACGGCCUGUUCGCAUAUAGCCCAUUUACAGCCCGCUAACCCAAGGCCCGUUACGCCCUACCCGAAUUAGGCCCAGUAGCGUCAUCCGGGCCAUCCAAUAUGAUUCCAGCCCGUUUUCACUUCUGGCCCAUGUAUGGCCCAUGACGUCUUUCGGCCCAUAUGAGACCCUAUGUAACUCUUGGCCUAUUAAUGGCCCGUGGUGAAACUGGCCCGCAAUGAACAGUGUAUCACUUUAGACCCAUUAACGGCCCGUGGUGAAACUGGCCCGUAAUGAACAGUGUAUCAUCUUAUACCCAUUAAUGGCCCGUUAUUCAGUUGGGCCGUUUCCAGCCCAUGUUAUCUUUCGGCCUUCUCAGAGCCCAUUUAUUCUUGGGCUAAUUUCGAGCAUUCGUUUACUUACGGCCCGUUACUGUAAUUUUCUGCUUGUGGGCCAAAUUCAGCCCGUGGUUACAGUCGGCCUGUUUGUGGCCCCUUAAUACAUUGGGCCGUUUUCAUAGCGUCAUCAAAUACAGCCUAUUAACGAUGGCCCGUUAUGGUCGGCCCAUGAACGGACGAUUCCAACUCUAGCCCGUUUACGGCCAUAAUGCGGCCUGUUAUUGGCCCAUGUUUGGCCAAUCGAUCAUACGGCCCGUAUAAGGCCCAUUGAUGAUAGGGCCCGUAGAAGGCCCAAUGUUUCUACGGCCCGUAGAAGGCCUACUGUUUCUACGGCCCGUAGAAGGCCCACUGUUUCUACGGCCCGUAGGAGGCCCAGUGUCACUACUGUAAAUAUUAGCCCAUGGUUAUUGUGGCCUAGUUUAAAAAAAUAGGUUAUUGCAGCCACUAGCAAACCGCGGAAAAAGAACUGCACUGACUACAAGCAAAAAAAUAAACAAGACAACAAGGAAAUAAAUAAGCAAGCAACUUAUGCUAGGUUAUCACGACUAUUACACAUAUUACAUCCACUGGGCAUCAAAGUUCACCACCAGUGCAAAUAUAGGGAACACAACAACAUAUAAACGCCGCAGCAAAACAAGUCCAGAACUGAAACCACUUCAGAAGAGUUCAAGAAACAAUAUCCUGGGUACCCAUAAUGCUGGCAAGAUGCUUAGCAAGCUUAUUAACUUUCUCUUGUUUGGCGCUUAAAUCCUCCAACGCUUGCUGUUGCACAAGAAAGUACGCAUCUGAAUUCUGCAGGGACUUCCUCAGUCCUUCGGCUUCUUGCCGCAGCACAGAUGACUGAUGCCUUUCAGCUUGUAGCUGAGACUGAAGAAGCCGAAGUGAUUCAGGUAGCGAGUUCGAAGAGCUUGUGCUAGCGGUACUGGCCAGUAACUCGAACACUACAUCAACGCAGGACUGUGGGGUUUUCUCACUGUCUACAAGAUCGUUUUUAUCACCUUUGUUGGAGACCAACAGGGUUGUCUCACUAUCUUGAACCUUAUCUGCAUUACUUUCUCUACCAUUGCAUAGUGGGGUGCUCUUCUCCAAUAUUCUGUUUGCAUACUACAAGAGAAACAAGCAGACACAUCACAGGUUUAGCUUGUAGUAUACCAAACUCAUUUUGGUAAACCGGUUCAGUAGUAAGGUGGACAGGAUAACAGCAUGAAACAAACAUAUAUCUAUGUACUAUGGUCACUGUAUUGUCCAUAUCAUUGUAGUUUAUGUUCCCUAAUCAAGAUAGAGACACAGUUCAACUCAUAUAUUUUUAAGACACAACAGCAUAGACAGAAUAUAAGUGUGAGAAACUACACAACAUUGGCAGCACUUGUAAUGUGCAUCACAUGAGAACAUAACUGUUUAUACAACUUAAACUGAAAUCAACAUAGAGCAAGAAGUUAGAACAACAAUCCAGUUAAAGAAAUAGGUUUAAAACAUACCUGUUGCGCCAUUGGAGUUUCAAUUGGAUCCUUUAAAUUCGAAAGUAGUUGGUAUGAGUAAAUACAGUGAUGCAACAGCAAAGGAGUAUGGACCAUAGCUACGGAAUCUGACCUGAGAACAGUUGCUCUUCUGCUUUAAACGUGGAGUUUGGGUUAGCUGUGGUGGUCUUCGUGCUUUGGGCACUGCAGUAGCUUUACAAACUGCUCGUGUGGGGGUACUCUGUGGUGGACAUGGUGCUUUGUCAACUAUAAGUGGGUUACUAUCCGCUGGGGUUGCGGUUAGAUGGGUUGUAGCUGGUUCUCUGCCCAACAGUGUAAGUGUGCAAUCUGGAAGAGUCUCGAUUAUGUGUGGUGGGGCUAGUUUGUGGGCCAGUACAACCAUGGUUCUAUCUGCAUCGACGGGUAGCACUGUCUUUUGUGAAGAACGGUUUUUUGCUCCCUUAGAUACUGCCAUCACCCCCUCCAAUUCAAAUGGCUGAUAAACAAGAAAAGAAAUUGAACGUACAGACAUUGUAUGAUAGACAGGUGUGGUAAUUCACAUAUAUGUUGUCUAACCAAACAGGACAGCAUGACACAAUUUCACAUAUAUGAUGCCUAACUAAACAGGAUAGCAUGACACAGUUUCAGAUAUAUGAUGGAUAACUUAACAGGAUAUAAUGGCAUAAUUCAACAUAUGAUGAGUACCUAAACAGGAUGACAUGACAAAACUAUAUGAUGUCUUUCUAAAAUAGGUUGGGAUGAAAUAAUUCACAUACAUGUUGUCUAAGUAUACAGGAUGGCAUGAUAUAAUUGACAUAAUUGAUUCAUAUACUAAGCAGCUGGCACUCGCAUGUAUGAUCUCUAAACUAAGCAGAUAGAAUUCAAUAUUGUGCAUAUGAUGUCUAAACUAAGCAAUGCAAGACACCAUAUGCAUCAUAUGAGAAAUAUAAACAUUGCAACUUAGAGCAUACACCUCAGGUGGGAUAUAGGACUGGUCAUCUGUCUCUGAAUCCUCCUCUGAGGAGCUCCCUGUAACCAUCGAGAUAUAUGCUUCAACAGGUACCAUUGCCUGCUCUGAAGAUCUUGUUUUCACUCCAGAUUUUUCCAUAACCGGAUCAAAUGGCUGAUACACAUGAAGAGUAGUUCAAUAUACAUAGAUUGUCGACAAAUGGAAUACGUAAUGAAAAAAAAGAUGGCAUGAGAUAAUUCACAUAUAUGAUGCCUGGCUCCAUGGCGGUGCAUAAUUCACAUAUAUGAUAACUGGCUGAAAAACAUGGCAUUGCAUAAUUUACAUAUCUCAUAUAGAAAGCAAACAGGAGGCAUUCACACAAAGCAUGUCUAAUCUAAGCAGAUGGCAUGGCAAUGCAAGACACCAUAUGCAUGAUAUGAGCAAUAUAACCCAGCCAAGUUAGAGCAUGCACCUCGGGGGGGGGGGAUACGACUGGUCAUCUCUCUCUGAAUCCUCCUCUAAGGAGCUAUCUGUAACCAGCAAGAAAUCUGCAUCGACAGGUAGCACUGACUGCUCAGAAGACCUUGUUUUCACUCCAGAUUUUCCCAUGACCGACUCAAAUGGCUGAUGCACAGGAAGAGUAGAUGAAUGUAUAAACAUUGCUGACAAAUGGAACACAUUAUGGAAAAAAAUAUGGCAUGAUACAAUUCACAUAUACGAUGACUGGCUAAACAGGAUGGCAUUGCAUGAUUCACGUAUAUGAUGCCUGGCUAAAGAAGAUGGCAUUGGAUAAUUCCCAUAUACUCCCUCCGUUCCUAAAUAUUUGUCUUUUUAGAGAUUUCAAAUGGACUACCACAUACAGAUGUAUAUAGACAUAUUUUAGAGUGUAGAUUCACUCAUUUUGUUCCAUAUGUAGUCACUUGUUGAAAUCUCUAAAAAGACAAAUAUUUAGGAAUGGUGGGAGUAUGAUAUAGAAACCAAACAGGUGGCAUUCACACAAAGGAAAUCUAAACUAAGCUGAUGACAUAUAAGAUGUAUAAUGUAAGCAAUGCAAGGCGCCAUAUGCAUGAUAUGACCAACAUCAGCAUGCCAGGUUAGAGCAAACACCUCAGGUGGUAAACAGGCAUGGUCGGCUCCUUCUGAAUCUCCAUCUGAACAGUUAUCUUCCUCUGGAAUACAAUCUGAAAAUGCAGGAGAGGGGGGGGGGCACUUCGCCCACCAUGGAGCAGCGUCUGCAUGACAUUAUAUUCGCACGCAACGGUCUUCUCUUUUUCUCUACAUGUUCAGUACGAUUGUGUACAAUAUCUGACAUGCAUAAUAAAAAAAAAUAGUUAGAUUUUGUAAGGCCUAAGGGGUGCAUGCAAAAAUCAAGACUGAUGGUAGCAAACGAGUGGAUGGAUCCAAAACUAAUGAUAGCAGGUAGAUUAUAGCUUCAGUUUAAAAAGAUAGACAAUGGAUCAUCUAUUGUUUGUUGCCCACCCAACAUGAACCACAUAGAAGACCCCAGAUGAACCAGAUAGUAGACAUAUACUAUUCGUUGCUGGCUCGAUAUGAGACCCAUGGGCAAUUCAAAACUCAAGAUUGAACGAUAAAGUAGCAGGUAAUAAUAACCGAUGUAUAACGUAAGCAAACACGAAAGACUGCGACCUCUCUUCCGGAACUGUCUAGUCCUCAGGUUCAUCUGCUCAGUCGAUGAUGGUAAUGCAGUUGGCGUGGCUGCCGGCAACGGGGAAGAUGAUCUGAGGCGGCGAAAGAAAGUCUGCAGGGGGGAUCUCUGCUGCAGUGAACGCUUCUGUCGAUGGUGCACCUCAGGUGGGGUGGAUGACGGCACGGCAGGAGCAGGACAUAACACACAGAGUUUUCUUUGACGCCAAUCUAAAAAUGAAGUAAAUCUGUAAGGGCUCCUUAGAAUUGGAGAAUUCUAUAAACGCGGGGACAGAAAAAACACAGGAAUAGGAUAGGAAUGCACGUGCAAAACAGAGCAUUUGGAAACAUAGGAUUUCAGUCAACCUGAGUGUUUGGCUCACAUGAAUUGGAAGAACAGAGGAAUGGAGAAACAAAGUGAUGCGACGAGUGUACAACCUCUUUGGCAUAGCCUUGUGGACCUCAGCAUCAUUGGGUUGGACGUGGAGGAUGGUGAUGAUGCUGGUGUGACUGUCGGAGGCGGGGAAGAAGAUCCGAGGCCUCUGGAAACGGCGCCGAGGGUACUGCUCCGCUGUGAUGGACGGUUCCGUUGUUGGAGCAGCUCCGCUAAGGUGUAUGGCGACGAGGAUGAAGCAUGACAAGACAGACAACUUUAAUCUGAAGUGGGACCCUAAUAUCAUCUGCAAUAGAUGAUGUAAAAUACAUCACCAAAAAGUGCUAGAUGUAAAACGCAUCAGCCGCGCCACGGCCGCUCCGACAGAUGCUGUAAGUACUGUUCACUCUGAACUUAACUGAAGAAAAUGAACUUCACAGUCGAAACUGAAUUUUACUGUCGAAACUGAUUGAACUAGUAACAGAGCAUUGCAAUAGAUGUUUAGGGCGUUCGAGCACUAGUAGCAGAGAAGCAGUGAUCUAAAUCAACAGACGCUCGAGCAGGGAACACACUAGCAGAGAGCAAGUCGUGCAGUAGCACCGCGAGCAAGUGCUAAAGCAGCAACUCCUGUAGCUGCCGGAGGUCGUGCAACAGCAGCAGCAGCGCAAGCGAGAGCAAGAGCAGAGCAGCAGCACGAACGAAAGCAGGAGCAGUGCAGCAGCGCGACCGACAGCAAGAACAGAGCCGCAACGCGAGCGAGAGCCGGAGCAGCUGCAGCUAGUGCCGUUGUGGAAGUCGCCGCUAAGGAAGCAACGACAUGGGGGAGAGACGCCGUGGAUGAUGUGGCCGGCGACGGCGCCGUCGAUGGAGACGCCAUGUCUGCUCGGUAUCGAGCACCGGCAGCCCCGUGAGAUCGAAUAAAUGAUAAAAUGCAGCGGUGAGUGCAGAACCUCCUUGGUGGCGCCGAGUUGGCCUCGGCUUCAUCGGAGGAAUUGGUGAGGGUGCUGCGGUUCCGGUGGGGCAGGUCAAGAUGGCGCUGUGGGGAUUGAGGUGGCACGAUAGACGAGGCGAACGUCGGGGCAGCUCCUUGGAGGUGGAGGACGGGGCGGCUGAUCCGGCGGGACGACGAGAUCGACAACGGAUCCUCAUCCGGUGCGGUAGAUGAGGGACGGCGAGCUGUUGCGGUGGACGACGUAGUCGGGGAAGAGUCUCUGGCUGGGCGGCGGUCGGGAGGCCGAGGGAGGAGCGUGGGGUUUUGCUGGUUUUGGCGGCCUCGNNNNNNNNNNNNNNNNNNNNNNNNNNNNNNNNNNNNNNNNNNNNNNNNNNNNNNNNNNNNNNNNNNNNNNNNNNNNNNNNNNNNNNNNNNNNNNNNNNNNNNNNNNNNNNNNNNNNNNNNNNNNNNNNNNNNNNNNNNNNNNNNNNNNNNNNNNNNNNNNNNNNNNNNNNNNNNNNNNNNNNNNNNNNNNNNNNNNNNNNNNNNNNNNNNNNNNNNNNNNNNNNNNNNNNNNNNNNNNNNNNNNNNNNNNNNNNNNNNNNNNNNNNNNNNNNNNNNNNNNNNNNNNNNNNNNNNNNNNNNNNNNAAGCUUAGGUACGCGCUUGUCCGAAAUGUAGGGUAAGUUACCAGCGUACCCCCACCGGUUUUGACACCGCGACGUGGAGCUUCAUUUCCGGAUGAGGGGUAGAAGGGGGAUUUCGCGUGUCUGGGAUGCGGGAGCGAUUUCAGAUGAGGAGGGAGUUCUCGCGCGCGUCCAAAUUUCGGGAUAACAAGGCGCGACGCGGGUUGAAGAAGCGGGAGUUUCAAAGCAGGUGAGACAAAAGAUACUCGAGCUUGAAAAUUUCGGGAUAACAAGGUGCGGAUUCCUUGUUCGGCAGAACAAACUUAACGUGUAAAAAAAAAAUCAUAUAAGACACAAGAGAGUCAUGUCCCCUUUUACUAUAUUGCUAUAUAUGCCAUUGAAAAAACUACAAGAAAAAUGUAAAAAAAAUCGGGAGAACAUGAUUACCCUGCACAGUACCAAAUCGAUUCGCACUUCCCUCAACAACAACAAAAAACAAAUCAAUUCCCACCAAAGAAAGAGUAAUGUCCCUUUUUAUAUGAUUACAGAUGCCAUGAUCUCGAAUUUCAAUUUUUGAAUCCACGUUAUGUUGAAUUCGAAUAUAUCAUUAGGUGACCUUGCGGUUUAUAAUUGAUGUAGUCAUACAUUUUGAUCUUCCAUCAUAUAUGAACAUUUUACUCCACCAUGUGAACAUAUAUAUUUUCGUCUACCAUAUGGACUAAAUUUGAAUCAAUUUUCCUUAUUUGAAUAUGAUUGUUGUCAAGUUAUACAAUAAUUUAAAUAUUAUCUUGAUAACAAAAAGACAUGCAUAUAGCAGUAAUCAUAUUUCACUAUGAACUACAUGUACCAUACGCUCUCCAAUUCAAAUAUCUGUAUCCAUUUUAUGUUGAAUUCAAAUCAUAGUACAUUAUUGGUCUAGGUAGCGAGAUGUUCGGGAUAAUCUAAACCCUGUUUUCAUACGUAUAAUUUUUGGCUGAAUUGGGACAAGUUUUGGUAUAAGCCUCUUGCAAAACCGGAGAUUCUCUCAACAAGCCUCGUGGUUCCGAGAGGGAACGUGUCACCUUUGUGUGCGAAACGAUAUACGCUGCCUCCCCCCUGAUUUUAUUUACAGAGGCAACAUAGAACUAUAUGAGUGCCCUGUUAAAUUUUGGAAUUAUUUCGGGUUCAUUUGGCCUUUUUAUACAUUAAUUGAGUUUCUGGACUUUUAAUGUGCAUAAUCUAAAUAUGAAUUGCAUGCACAUGCUCCGGUGCACCAAAGUGGGUUGAAAAAUCACAUGUGUGUCCUUGGUUGAAUUUCUAGGUCCCGUCGAAGAAAUGAGAAUGAAAUUCAAACAUCUGGGCGUCAUGACUUUGCCGAGAACAUCGAGAAACUUAGAUUUUAAAUUCAUGUAAUGAAACUUGGCAUGGUGUCAUGUCAUGGCACUAACAUGUUGUGGUAAAAAAUUGGGCCGAUUUGGAAGCUCGUGGUUCUAAGAGGCAACGUGCCACCCCCCGCCCUUGAGUUUCUUAACAAAGGCAACAUAGAACUACAUUAGUGCCAUGUUAAAUUUUGGAAUUAUUCCGGGUUCGUUUGUCGUUUUUUAUACAUUAAUUGAGUUUCUGGUCAUUUAAUGUGCAUAAGUCAAAUUUGAACUACAAGCACAUGCUCUUGUGCACCAAAGUUGGUUGAAAAAUCACAUUUGUGUCCUCGGGUGAAUUUCUAGGUCCCAUGCAAGAAAUGAGAAUAAAAUUAAAACAUCUGGGCAUCGUGGCUCGGCCGAGAACAUUGAGAAACUUGGUUUUAAAAUUCUUGUAAAUCCAAAACACGUCUGAAAAUCAUGAAACUUGGUAUAGAUGUCAUGUCAUGGUACUACCAUGUUGUGGUAAAAAAUGGCCGAAUAGGAACAGAUUUUGGUAUAAGCUUCUUGCAAACCGAAGCUUCUCAAGAAGGCUCGUGGUUCUGAGAGGGAACGUGUCACCUUUGAGUGCGAAACGAUAUACGUUGUCCCCCUUGAGUUUAUUUACAAAGGCAACAUAGAACUACAUGAGUGCCCUAUUAAAUUUUGGAAUUAUUCCGGCUUCGUUUGGCCUUAUUUACACAUUAAUUGAGUUUUUGGUCAUUUAAUGUGCAUAAUUCAAAUUUGAACUACAAGCACGUGCUCCCGUGCACCAAAGUUGGUUGAAAAUCACAUUUGUGUCCUCGGGUGAAUUUCUACUCCCAUGCAAAAAAUGAGAAUAAGAUUCAAACAUCUGGGCAUCGUGGCUCGGUCAAGAACAUUGAGAAACUUGGUUUUAAAAUCAUGAAACUUGGCAUGGUGUCAUGUCAUGGUAGUACCAUGCCGUGGUAAAAAAAUUGGCCGAAUAGGAACAAAUUUUGGUAUAAGCUUCUUGCAAAUCGGAGCUUCUCUCAAGAAGGCUCUUGGUUUUGGGAGGGAACGUGUCACCUUUGUGUGCAUAAUUCAAAUUUGAAAUACAAGCACAUGUUCCAGUGCACCAAAGUUGGUUGAAAAAUCACAUGUGUGCCCUCGGGUAAAUUUCUAGGUUCCAUGCAAGAAAUGGGAAUGAAAUUCAAAAUUCUGGGCAUCGUGGCUGGGUUGGAAACAUUGAGAAACUUAGUUUUUUAAUUCCUGUAAAUCCAAAACACGCAUGAAAAUAAUGAAACUUGGCUUGGUGCCAUGACAUAGCACCAACAUGCUGUGGUAAAUUUGCAGUACGAUUUGCGAAGGCGCACACAUUAACAAUCAACAAAGUCAUUUUGGAACAAGUGCUGUCACGUUACAAUCGGAAACACAAGUAUUAUUGAAACCGUGGGUGUUCUACUUACUAGUACCAUUUACGUGCCGCCACGCGUCCCCAUUUUUUAUUAGCUAGGAGGGGCCGUGCAGGGUAGCUAUUUGAGUACGAGAGGCGUGCGAUUAGACCCCUGCGCGUGCUUAUCGGGAGGAGAGCCCUUUGACCUCCAUCUGCCGUCCACCUCUCUCCCAAGGUCUCCAUUAAUGGCGCCCGAGCCUUUGUUUAAUGGCGUGGCUAUGUCUCACUCGACUGAGAUUUAAGAGAGAAAAAAGAAAAUCUGACAGCAUGGAUCUUGAUGUAAGAUCCGACGGACCUAUAUAACAUCUACUGCGACUUAUAGCAAGACUGAUGAAUAUAUAAGGACGAUUUUUUUUGAUCAAAGAAGGGCUUGCCCCUUCCGAUUUUCAUUACUGUAAACCACCACAAUUCACAAGAAGUUCAGCACAACUCCAGCCUAACACGAAGGACUAAAAGUACCAGAUUGAAAUCGCAACAUCCCAAGAGGCCAACAAAGGCCAAACAUCUGCGCUAGAACCCAACAUUUCACAACCGACGACACAAUCGACAUCCUAAACCGAUUAUUACAUCAAAAGAAACCAGGAAACUGAAGGAAGCCUAGCAGCAACUAGAAGAACAGCAACGCCAGGGUCGCCACAACAAGAGUUUUCUUAAUUCCAGCCUCGCAACAUUGAUCUUCCACAGAAAGAUAAGGACGAUUAAUUCUCUUACAUAAUUAGAAAGAUAAUUAAAAAAGCCACAUGCGGCUACGCCCGAAAUACACAAGGGCAAAAGAAGAAGGAAGACAAGGAUCUAGCUCGCUGAUCUCUACUUUCUUGAUGCGUUGCUGCAGGCCGCGGGAACUAGUCUCCGCGGCGAGCGGCGAUGAGCUCUUUCGUGUCCUCAAGACGCUGCUUGAGAACAUCCACGGAUUCCUCCACCAGCCUUUGGCGCUCGUUGCGGAGCAUGUCAUUCUCGUCCAUAAGUUUCUUGACGAUGACGCCGGUCCUCUUCAACAAGGCACUGGUCUCCUCCUGCUGGUCUGCACUUCGGACGAUCUUCUCCCUCAGCAGGUCGCGCUCGGACUGGAGCCUCUCAUUGCCCUCCCUUAGUUGCCGGAUGACGCCGGUAGCCUGUUCAAACGAGGCUUUCACGUCGUCCUGCAACCUCGCCAAGCCGGAGAUCUGAUCCAUCUGGCUAUGGACGAUCGCAUGCAUGCGCCUGUAACAGUCGUCGCCUGCCUGCGAGAAAUUUUCCCAGGCCGCCGUGGCGCGGCGGGACAUCUCUGCUGCAUUCGUGGUGCGGCGGGACAUCUCUGCUGCUUCCGCGGCGCGGCCGGACCAGUCUGCUGCAUCGACGGCGCGGCGGGACCUCCGUGCUGCUUCCGCGGCGCGGCGGGACCUCUGUGCUGCUACUUCCGCGCGGCGGGACAUGUCGGCUGCUCUCGCAGCGAGGCGGGACAUCUCUCGUGCUUCCGCUUCCAUGCUCGCCUCUCCCUGGUAGCAAUCUCUCGACCCAGAACUCACGCUGGCCAUGGCAGACGCAAGGGAAGGAUGCUGAAUGACUUGUUUGUUUUUGUGGAUGAGGAGUUGAGGAGGAAUGUGCAGUCAUCUUGGCAUACUAGUAUUUAUAACCGAGUACUAAUACGCUCCUAAGUGGGAAACCGUUUAGGUUGUGAUCGUUGUGAACAGGUUUGGAAUUCAAUAUACUAGCGUGGUACUAAUACGCUCCUAAGUGGGAAACCAUUUAGGUUGUGAUCGGUGUGAACAGGUUUGCAAUUCAAUAUAGCGUGGAGUAAUUUGGAAUGUGAAGAGACGCAAGCUCAAAAACUUGUACUCUGAGUUUAGUAGUACGUUAUACAGGAAGAGAAGAGGUGCACGCACGCACUCGUCCUCUCACACACGCGUCUGUUUUUUCUCGAAAAGGAGGAUGAUGACCCCCGGCCUCUGCAUCUGGGAGUCACACACGCAUCUGUAGCUACGAAUUGUAGUGUUCUCAACCAUCCGAUUGGCUCUAUCAUGGAUGUACCUAUAUACUAAAACAUGUCUAGAUACAUCUAUAUUUUGACAAAUGGAAGGCAUGUAUUGUGGAACGGAGGGAGUGCUUGUCAUCAAAAUGGAUAAAAAGGGACGUGUCUAGAACUAAAAUACGUCUACAUACAUCUCCUUUUAUCCAUUUUGAUGACAAGUAGUACUCUUACCCAAAGGAACUUUAUAUCCAACAGACACAAAAUAUCCGUUCGACUGUUGGAAAUUACUGAUCUGAUGUCGAAGUAAUUGCUGCAGCACCACCAAAACCCACCAUUUCUUAAGCUAAAGUAGACCAAGGUAAUCCCUAUAUUAGCAUAUUACUAAGAUAAACAGAAGGCACUGUCGAAACAUUUAGGAUGUGAGCUUGUCAAUCUGAAUGUGGAGGGACACAAGCUUAGCCCCGGCCAGCAGCUUGGGCGGAACUGUCAAGAAGGUCAGCUCCUGCACGUCGACGUCGCCGGGAUCCUUGCUGCUUGUCACCUCCAUUUCCACCUUGACGGUGUCGGUCGUGCCUUUGGGCUCCCCCGAUGGGCCGUUCGCCCACAGCUUGGCCAAGUAGUGCGGCAGUGGGGACGCCCCCGCUCUGAUGCAGACGACCGACAAGGCGAUAGGCGCGCCGAUGUCGAGCACGCCGCCGACCAAGAAAAACGCGCGGCGGUCCUCCUCCGUGAACAGCAAGAGCCGUGGCUCCGACAGUGGCUCUUGCAGCUGGAGCACCUUGCCGCACUGGAUCCUGUGCACGGGCAUGGGAUGCGCGGUGCUGAUGUGGUGGUAGAGCGCCGGCGGCGGGCCUUCGUAGCCGCAGACGGGCAUGGGGCAUUUGUAGGGCGCGAGCGGACACACGCUCUGGUGAUCGGCGAGCUUGUGGUUAGUGACGUAGAGCCCACAGCCUUCGUGCGGGCACUCCACCCUCACCGACGAAAGGACGGAGUCCACCGCCGUGUUCCGCAUGUCGAAGCCACCGCCGCGCUCGCACUUCUGGCACUGCCGCUGGUUCCCGGGGCGCUCGACGCGGCAGUCCGCGCAGGAGAGGUGCCCUCCCUUGCACUGCAGAAAUCAAUCCAACAGCACAUCAAUCAAGAAACCUGCACCUUGCUCAAUCAGCCAAACGGACGAGCUGUAUUCGAACCUCAUACACUGGAGGUGUCAAGGGGCGGAGGCACAAGGGGCAGUGGAGCACGGUGAGGUCCAUCGAGACCUUAGAGAGCUCCAUCGUCGGGUCAUGUUCCUGUUCGGUCUGCAUGAUCUCGCCCUCCUCGUGCACAACCAUCCUUCAAGGUGCAUUAAAUCAACACAUGCAAGUACUAUCAAAAGAAGAGUCACGGCAUGCAUGCAUGCGUUGUAAUUAAUGCAUCGGUAAACGCAAAUUAUUGAAAUAUAUCGAGUGCAGUGCUUUGAUGUGUCGCGUCAACUCGUACAUCAACGAGAAGUUUGAUUAUCCUCUCCCUCGCGGACUUAACUGCACCUGCCUUUGGCUGUAUGACAGGUUGGCCACACACCUGUCGGGCCCACCUGUCAUACACGCAAAGACAGGAGCGUCCCUCCCUCGCCCAUGAGCGUGGUGGCUGGCAAGACUAGGAGAAGCUUUCGCUACACGCUCUCCCUCCCGCACGCGGUGGACAUGCAGCAGUUCAAUCGGUGCCAGAUGGCCAGAAGCGUACUGUAGUACUCCUCCAGUGCAGUAGUACACCAUCAUUGUUCGACUUCCCGAAGAGGCGAAGAGCCAAGCGCAGCCCGGACCCUCGUGUGGCAGUCUCAUGUGUAGAGUAGUCUAGAUAGCGUGUACCGUGCCUGUAAGCUUAAAAUCGUUGGGGUCGGCUCCAUGCUAUGUGGCCGUCUCGAAGUUUUUUUUUAAAAUUAAAAUAGUCUUCUGGCCCUACCUGUCACCCUGGUGAUUGUAGUUUGCACGCUCAUCUGGUCAAGACAGGAAUAUAAAUCUUAAUUUGUUUUUUUUUUCAAAAAGGGGGGACUCCCUGGCCUCUGCAUCAGAACGAUGCAUACGGCCACAUAUAUUUUAAUUUGUGGUGGGUAAAUGUUAGAGAUUGUAGCAAAUAUAUCGUACACUGCGGGUCUUUCAGCCAAGUUUAGAGGCAAGCAUGUGGGGCCAGUGCUAUGAUGUGUCGCGUCAACUCGUAGAACGAGGAGAAGCUUGAUUUUACUACACGCCUUCUCCCUCGCCCAUGUGCGCGGUUGCUCGCAAACGAGGACAGGCUUUUGCUUAGUAGUAGUACUUCCACAACAAGCUAUCCGUCCCGCUCGCGGUGGACGGACAUGCAGCAGUGGAUUCGACACUGUAGAAGCAGUAGUAGUAACAUCAUUGUUCGUCUUCUCGAAGAGGCGAAGAGCCAAGCGCAAACCGAACGUUGCAGUUGCGAACAUUGGAGCACGCAUAUAGCCAGGCUCUUGCAUGAGACAAAAUUGCUAUGUGAGCCCACUAUUGUACUAGUACGUACAACUACUUGCUAGUAUAGCCCUGUAAACCAGAAAGGAGUAUUUGCCCUUCUAGAGAUUUCAACAAGUGACUAAACUACACCGAGACGGAGUACAUAUGGAGCAAAAUGAGUGAAUCUGCACCGUAAAUAAAUACGUACUAGUUCUAUCGUUUUCCUCUCCGAGGUGCACAAUAUUGAGUAUACUGACUAGUCUCUUUUUGACACGCAUUUACGUUUUUUUUGACACAGUACAGACGCAAGCGCUCAUAUACACGCGCAUACACUCACCCCUAUGAACGCACACGCGCACGGCACUAUCAUCUUGAAAUUUAUGAAGUCACCAUAGGCACCUCGUCGUCGACGGGUCCAUAGGUGCUUGAAUGCCAAGGAGGAAGAGGGUAGCGGUUCCCGAGACGUUGAACGGUCAAUGAUGCAUCCUCAAUUACAUGUAGAGGGAAUUAAUUGGAGAAGCAGACUAGAACCAGCAUGAUGUGAUUGCAACAGAGUUUGGACUCUCAUAUAAUAAAGGCGCCCCACCACUUCAAUCCAUCUACUCCCAAGUCUCUGCGCAACACUGCUCACUCCAAUCCAAGACCAAGUGACCAGAAGCCACAAACACCUAUGGAGGCGAUGGACGCGAGCGGCAGUCGGCUGUGCCAAAUCAUCCAAGGCGCCGGCCUGCGGCCCCGCACCGCGCAGCGUUUCCAGACGGUGCUGGCGACCGCAGGCAUCGUAGCCCUCGCCGACGCCGGCUUCGCCUCUCGCAUGGACGACAUGAUGGUCAACUCCAUCCGCAAGUUCACCGCCAUCAAGAAGCGCGCGGACGGCCUUGCCGUACUUCUCCAGCCCGCGCGCCCAGGCUCCUCAUUGCCUGCCACCCUCAUCGGCCUACAUGGUGACGAACUCUUCCAAGCCCUGGUGGCCCUGCAGGUGCCGGAGGUCGCGACGAAGAAUGUGCACCUCGAGGCCACGCUCGCCAUGCAGCGCCUCGCCAUGCAAGAAACCGUCGACCUGCACAUCCACGUCUACGAGGAAAUCGUCUACAUAGGCCACUACAAGGCAAACGAAGACAGAAAGACGUUGGCCUUCUUCCAGCGGCUGGAAUCUUUGGACGCCAUUGUUCAGAAGCACGUCGACCUGGCCACGAAAGCCGCUGCUACUUAGGCGCCGUUCGGUGGGCCGGCGCCUUGAGUCGAGGAGGUGGACGUCGUCGAUGGAUGCAUCUCUUCUUCUUGACUCCUGUAACCAGCACUGCAUCGCCUCGUGGCCUUAAUGUUUUAUUAGUAUAGUACUCCCUCCGUUCCCAAAUAUAAGUCUUUCUAAAGAUUCCAGCAAGUGACUACUACAUACGGAGCAAAAUGAGUGAAUCUACACUCUAAACUAUGUCUUCAUACAUCUGUAGGCUGUAUUCCAUUUGAAGUAGUAUCUAAAAAGGCUUAUAUUUAUGAACGGAGGGAGUAUAUGGCAUUUUUUAUUCCAGUUGUAACGUUUUCACUAUGAGGUGGGGCCGCAGUUGAGCAAACCCACCCCACCCACAGAGAGUAGAAGAGAGAAACGAGGGAGGAGGGCUAGCUGUAGCACGGACGCUGUUGUCAGAUGGGACUCGUGUUUAUAGAAUAGGAGUACUGAGCACUCGUGCCUCUUUUUUUUUUUGAGGGAAAAAUUAGUCGUAUGUCUAGUACCACUAGUUGGGUGCGUGCGACUUAUAGCUGUCAUCACUUUAGGUCUACUUUUCGAACCGUGGCUAUGCUUCACAGUACAUAUUUUUCACGCAUUUAUUCUCCUAUAUGUACUCCUAGGCUAUUUCCACGUGCUCCCAUUCGCCGACAUGUGGGACAUAGAGCAUCUGGGUCGUAGUGCAUGCACGACUCGGAGCAUAUGCCGGGGUACUUUACAUUUCAUACCUCACGAAUUACAUGCAAACCCCCCGCAGAAGAAUAAAUAAAUCAAUGAAUUACUACAUGAAACCGGAUUAUUUUCGUGGAAACCGGAGCACGUUCAUUAAAUUUUGGACAUAACACGUUUAUAAAAAAUGACCGGACCUAAACCGGUCUAAGGGCCUCUUUGAUUUUUCCCGAAAAAAGGGCCUCUUUGAUUCGCAGGAUACUGAAAACACAGGAAUGGGGAAAGUAUGAUGGCGAUGAACCGAGACGAGGAGAACUCUAACUCAGUUAGAGGUUAGAGUUAGAUUCUAACCCUGAACUAACUCUAAACCAAAGAGGUGUAUGGAUGGCAGGGUUAGAUUGACAAUAAAUGCUCUAUCUCAAUCAUUUGACUACUUUGGACCCUAUUUUUAGUCAGACUAAAAUAAGUCCCUUGGAUCCAAGCACCCUCUUGGUGUGGCCGGCUCUUCUGUGGCCUCCUCCCGCUCACAAUUGACAUAAAUGAACCAUCUAUACAAUCAAGCAUGCAAAACAUGAUAAUUUUUACUUUGUCCAUACAAAUGAGAUAUCCCACUUAAACAUACAAGUCGUCAAUCAAGCUUCACAAAAUAAAAAAACACUUCAUGAAACAAAGAAUGAGCUAACUCAUCACGGAAGUUGUUCACGAUAGGGAGGGAGCCCGGAGCCCCUCACGCACCGAGGGAGGAGCUCGCCAUCGUCGCUCUGGAGGAAGGCUCUGUAGAGCCCAAGCCCCGGGAACCCCUCCGACGCCGGCCCUUGCGAGUUGAGGUCGACACCGGCAUGGGUAGCAGGGCCGCUUGCCGCCGACUGGGAACUUAAUCUUUGGACCUCUAUAAAUAAUGCAAGCCUGUAACUAAACUACCUAGAAAGGUUAACUGAAUCUUUGGGCCUCUAGAAAUAAUGCAAGCCUGAAACUGAAAUACCUAGAAAGGUGAACUCAAUCUUUGGGCCUCCAGAAAUAAUGCAAGCCUGAAACUUAAAUACCUAGAAAGGUGAACUGAAUCUUUGGGCCUCUAGAAAUAAUGCAAGCCUGAAACUGAAAUACCUAGAAAGGUGAACUGAAUCUCUGGGCCUCUAGAAAUAAUGCAAGCCUGAAAAUGAAAUACCUAGAAAAGUGAACUGAAUCUUUGGGCCUCUAGAAAUAAUGCAAGCCUGAAACUCAAAUACCUAGAAAGGUGAACUGAAUCNNNNNNNNNNNNNNNNNNNNNNNNNNNNNNNNNNNNNNNNNNNNNNNNNNNNNNNNNNNNNNNNNNNNNNNNNNNNNNNNNNNNNNNNNNNNNNNNNUGAACUGAAUCUUUGGGCCUCUACAAACAAUGCAAGCCUGAAAUUGAAAUACCUAGAAAGGUGACCUGAAUCUUUGGGCCUCUAGAAAGAUUUAUUACCUCCUCAAGCAGCAUCAAACAAUUCCAUGCGUGCACCACAAAUCUAUAGGAAGUUUGAUCAGGAUCUACUUUGCCAAAUCAGAAUUAGCGCUAGAGCAAGCAAGAUCAAUGAUAUGGCCGUGAGACAGAGAAGGAACGAACAAACUCACCCCUCUCGCGACCUCCCUGAUAGAUGCGCCGCCGCCGUGCACGACAGAGGGAGAAAAACGACUGGUGAAGGGGGAGUGGGGUGACCUUCGAAGGUCGGAGGGAGAGGGCGGCCGGAGGAGAGAGAGGACGAGCGGCGCUUGGGCGGGCGGCCCUAUGGGGAACAGAGAGGAGUCGUGCGAGGGGGGGGGGGCGAUCUGGUGCGGGCAGGUGAGAUUUUUUUAGUUCUCUUUUAGUGGGCCUAGGAUAACUAACCCAAUUAGAACCUCUCCAUCGGGCUAGUUUUUUAGCUGGGUUAGAGCAAACUAGCUCAAACUAACCCCUCUUGUUUCGAUAAUUUGAGGCUAUUUCAACCCAAACUAGCUCUAACUCAGGGAUCCAAACAAAGAGGAGUGUUACUGUACAUGCUACAGCGUGGACCGUAGCACAUUGUUUUUUAUGGCCAUAUCACCACAUUAUUGUUUUCUACUGCUGGUUCACUGGGCUACCGUGGUUCGCACGGCUGGUUCACUGGGCUACCGUGGUUCGCACUCCUCCGACCUGAGUAGUACUCCCUCCGUUCCUAAAUAUAAGUCUUCGUAGAUAUUUCACUGUGGACCACAUACGGAUGUAUAUAGAUGCAUUUUAUGUGUAGAUUCACUCAUUUUUCUCCGUAUGUGGUCCAUACUGAAAUCUCUCCAAAGAAUUAUAUUUAGGAACGGAGGGAGUAGUAUAGUACUAGUAUAUACCGCAUCAUUCUUUGCUCCUUCUUACUACUCCGACAUGUGGGAGAGCCAGCAUCCGGGUCGACGUGUCAUGCACCAGAUUAGAGCACGGAACGGAAGGGGGGCAUCACCCCGGUCGGAGCGCCAGUAAUUCAUGACUAUAGUGAGUGGUCAUAUCACAAGUCUUUCCAGCAGUAACACGCUGUCAAAUCGCACAGCCCCACUCGCUCACCCUCCUCGCCUCUCUGUCAAACCGCCUACCCAAAAACUGCUGCGCGUACUGCCCGGGAAAAGCCCCGCCCUCAACUUUUAACUACGCGAAAAUAGUUCGAGCUUGUUCGUUCUAUAUAAAUACAGUACUUACUGUAUGUUUAUUCACCCGUGGGGUUGUUCAAUGAAUGGAGGGGCGGGGAGCACAAGUGAACAAUACUACCUCUGUCCGGGUUUAUUGGUCCCCAUUGUAUUUCAUGCCAAAUUUUGACCAUAGAUUAAACUAAGAAAAUGUUCACGCAUGUCACCAAACAUUAUAUUUUUCAAAACUAUGUUCAAAUACGAAUCCAAUGAGAUAAUUUUUCUUGACAUGCAUUAACAUUUUGUUAGUUAAAUCUUUAGUCAAAAUUUGGCACAAACUAUAAAAGGGACCUAUAAACCAGGACGGAGGUAGUACUGCAGUAGUAGUAAGUAGGAGUCGUAGAGUAGUCACCUUAAAUAGAGAGUUUCUUUUCUUUAAUGCCACGUACACAAAUUGAAACGCUUGUUGUGGAGAGAAAAAAGAUAAUCACUCCACUAUAUAUGGACGCAGGGGCCUGAGCGCUUGCUUUACUAGGGUUGCUCUCUUCAUUCUCUCAUCCUCUCCAGAUAUAAACAAGACAGCGGUAGCGACAUUUUCUCUCUGCUCACCGCUGGUCACAGAUCCGGCCGGAUCCCUUCGGCCGGUAUGUGUAGAGGACUAAAAGGUGCAUCGUUCACGCGGUCAUCGCCGCCGAGGGAGGAAACCCACAGCUGCUGGAGGGGCCCGAUCCUCUGCCCGUGCCGUUCUCUCCGACACAGCGCCGGCUCGGGAGGUCCUCCGACCCUUCUUCCUCCCUGCCGUAUUGUCCGCAGAUCCGACCUGCCGCCGUCAACAUCCCGGCGACCCUCAGGUAUAAGUUCUUCGAAAGCGGCCUUGCUCUACUGGCCCAGCUCCCCACGUGUCUGCAUGUGCAUCUUUUUCUACUCCCAUCAGCUCUUCCAAAGCCACCUAAAUUUUUAGUAUUAUUAGAGGUAAAGCUACUUCAUGCAUUCAAAUCUAGGGCUUUGUUCAAACAACGAAGAAAGGGGGAAAGUUGUAGCAUGAAUCUAGGACUUGAUUCAAAGAGGAAAUAAUAUGGUGAAAGUAGUAGAGACCGGAUACCCAACCGGUCUCUUGGUUGAAAAGGGAAAUAAUGGGAAAACGCAGUACAAACUGGAUAAGGAACAGAUCUAUUAUUGGUUGAAAAAAGGAUAGAAAGUGGCGGCUGGUGGACAAGUCAACAGAGUAUGUCCAGGAUUAGAUUUGCUGCCAUCACAUAGUAAAAGGUCUCCAGGAUUAGAUUUGCUGCCCUCACAUAGUAAAAGGUCUCAGGAUUAGAUUUGCUGCCCUCACAUAGUAAAAGGUCUCAGGUUUGAUUUGCUGCCCUCACAUAGUAAAAGGUCUCAGGAUUAGAUUUGCUGCCCUCACAUAGUAAAAGGCCUCCAGGAUUAGAUUUGCUGCCCUCACAUAGUAAAAGGUCUCCAGGAUUAGGUUUGCUUCCCUCACAUAGCGUGAACAAGCUCGGCAUCACCACUUUAUGCCUCCUUGUAGGUACAUUGUGCUGAUGCGUCCACUGUCGCAUGUCCUUAUACCAACCUUUUGCUGUAAGGGCGCAUGUAAAAUGAAGCGAUCACACUAUUACCUUAGGGACAUGUCUAACCAGUGUUAUUGUUAAUCUAAUGCCUCCAGUGAUAAGAUGCAAUUAAACUGUGUUACAAAUGGCACUCCUGCUGUUUUCCCCAGUAUGAUAAGUAAGUUGCUCCUUUACGCUGCUGAGUGUCCUGGUGUCCCCACGGUCCCAUGCCCUUAAACCAACUCUUUAGCUGCUGUUGAUUUACUGUGUCUGGUAAACAAGCAAUGCCACCAUUAAAGUAAUCCCAUAUCUGAGGAAUCUCAUUGUUGAUCGUAAUGCUUCUGGUAACAUGAAGCAUUGCUGACAUUUUAAAAUUUCUACUGUCCUUGCGUGAUUGCCAUGAACAUAAUUAAGAUGCUUCUUUUCAUUUUGUAUAUGUUUCGUAUAUUCUUAUUGACCAGCAACUGUUUACUUUCUAUCAUUUUGUGCAGAUAGGGAUAUCCAUGUCACCUUGUUGCUAUUGUGACCUUUUGGUGAACUGCACAAAACACUUUUUUUUGGAAUGAGUGUCUUGUGCAGUUCAACUAAAAUGUCACGUGGGCAACAUCUCUCAAUUUUGGUGGAACUGCACAAUAUGGUUAAACUAAAGUGAAACCAUGCUCUCCUGUCUCCUUGUUUGUGCUAUGCAAACAUGCUGUGCAAACAGGAAUACUCUACUACAGAUGUUGUGACGGUCAAGAGCAACAUCUCUCAAUUUUGGUGGAACUGCACAAAAUGGUUCAACUAAAGCGAAAUCAUGCUCUCCCGUCUCCUUGUUUGUGCUAUGCAAACAUGCUGUGCAAACAGGAAUACUCUACUACAGAAUGUUGUGACGGUCAAGAGCAUUCGUCAAGUUCUUCGAUUGUAUGACAUGGCUAGCCAAGAUGGAUUUAAUCCCGAUAUUCACUUUAUCAAAAGGCUCUAAUGGGUUGGUUCUGAAUCUUGCAAGAUGGGAAUCAGUGAGAUGUGUAGGCAUCUUUGUUGUACUUAUUAUUUGAAUCUUAUUUGUUGGUUCUGAAUCUUGCAAGCUGAGAAUCAAUGAGACGUGUAGGCAUCUUUGUUGUACUUAUUAUUUGGAUUUUAUUUGUUGGUUCUGAAUCUUGCAAGCUGGGAAUCAAUGAGAUGUGUAGGCAUAUUUGUUGUACUUGUUAUUUGGAUCUUAUUUGUUGGUUCUGAAUCUUGCAAGCUGGGAAACACGGCAUGAUGAUGCAGAGGACAACAACCAUAACAAACAAUUCAAACUUGGUAGUAUUAUCUUUGUGAAAGUGCGACAAAUGUGCUGAUCGUGUGCGUCCUGAGAAUAAUAAUUCUAAUUGUUGUGCAUGUUGAUCCCGUGGCACUGAUAGAACGAGCCAAUGCAUUGCUUGUUUUAAGUAUAAAUUUCUAUUAAAGCUAAUUAAAUUUAAGUAAAGUGACCACUAACUCCUGUUAUUAUAGUACCAAUACAGACCCGCUCGUGAACCGACGUGUGGCCGGAGUAGGUUUCUUAAUGGAGGCGUUUGAAUGCGUCGAGGGUGCAUCUUCUGCCGGGCGUGCAACGGAUGAGGGAGGGGUAGUAACUGCUAUCGCCUGUACACACUCAGCUUACUGUUGAAUCCAGUUCCCCAAGAGCUGAAAAACGAACUGCCGCCGCCGCCUACACACUCGUUCACUCGAAGAGACUCCAAUGGCGAUCCGAGGGGUGAGCCUGCUGGAUAUGGACUUCAGCAAGGAGUUAGUUCGCCGUUCAGUCCUAUGGCUGCACCAAGUUGAAUGUGAUGUACACCAACGAUACGGACUCGGUGAAGCUCUGCCUCGCCUCAGUCCUAUGGCUGCACCAGGUUCUGGAGCAUUCACCCGUUUCAUCGGCAGCGCCGACUGCACCUUCGCUACGGUGGAGAGAAGGAAGAACGCGACGAUUCGGCCAUCUGGUGCAACAAGCUUGUCGACAUCCAGAAGCAAUACAAGAUCAUCAGCAACGGGCAGGAGAAGGACUCCGUGGUUGACCUCGCUGAGACCAUCAUCGACCCCUGAUAUGCCAACAUGAAAGAAGACGACCUGAACACGUGGGAGGUACCUCUGAAUCUAGCCUACAUAGGGCCAAGGACGCAUACGCAUGCUACGACAUGUACAGGCAGAUCUUGGACAUGAGGGCGUGUCUGCUUCCCGUAACCGACGAGUACACGGACAGCCGCAGCGUCAUGAUCCAGCGUGCGAGGAAGGUCUAGAUGUUGUACUUUAUCUGUUUAGAAGCACCUUUAUCAUCUGAGUGUUUCAUGCAUUAGCCUAUGUGUCGUAAUUAUCUGGUUUGUCCGAAAUAUUUCUUUUAAGAACCCAUUAACCUGAUUGCUUUUUUUAGUGGCUAUUUGCUAAUGUAUGUAAACUAGUUCACUUGUCCGUAAAAAAAACUAGUUCACUCGGCUGCCGUGCUUUGAAUCUCCUUCCUCCCAACAUAUUCCUCUCCUCAGGUGGACCCAGCAGGUCUCUGAAUUUUCUCCCACUUUCUUUUUCGAUGUAAACUGAGUUUUCUCCCAGUACUUUCCCCUAGAACCAACUCAACUGUCCCACGUCUAGCCUAAAAAAUAAUAAUACCCCACGUACUAUUAACUCAUAAAAUUAAAAUGAUAUUUUAUUUCGUAAGUUGAAAGUUCUUACAAAAUAAUAAUAAUAAUUGUUUAUAUAUAACUUGGCAAGUUAACUCCUAGUGAUUGCGUACAUAAGCUUGCAAAGAUUUUACUGACGUGCAAUCAUGUGUUUAUGUUUUUAUAACAUUUCUCCGUCUAGCCCAACAUGAUAUUUUCACCCAGCCCAGCAAGUCCGCGGAUUUCGAGAAAAAUGCAAAUGGUAUUUAAAUGGGCUGCAUAGAUGCUACAUCAUUGUUUCACCCAGCCCACCAAAUGGACUAAAAAACAAAUGGACUGGCUGACAUGUGGGCCAGUAGGUCGAAGCCUAAGAAGGCGUUGGAUUUACAUCCAACGGCCGGCAUUCUUCUUCAAUCUCUCGUCUUCUUCCCCCAGCGCUGCCGGAACCACCUGCUCCAGCCUUCGGCAUCCAGCGGCGUUGUUUUGCGCUCCUCAGCGAAACGCUACCCCGCCGACGGCCAGGCCAUCCCUCCACUCCGCACCUCCUGUUAUUCUCUGCCGAGUGUAGGCCCACCCCGCACCCGAACCAGUCAAGUUUCCCACUCCUCUCCGUCUGCGGCUCCACUGCCGCGUCUUCCCCAUCUCCGGGUCAUUCCAGUCUGGGGCCUUGCCGUCGUCCACCGCCUCGGUGCGCUCGGCGCGGCGUGGUAAACAUACGAGAGUCAUCGGAAGAGGACUGUACGUGGAGAGCCUGACGGCUGGGACCCACGAGGUCCAUGGUCGCACGCAAGGAAAGUUCCUCCUUAUUACGCACUGUACGUGCACUGUACGUGGGAAGGGCUUCUGUAUUUCGCGAAAAAAAUGUCCCCCCCACUGACAGGUCGGACCCACCAGCUAUAUCUUUGCACGCAAGGAAGUGCCUCCUUAUUACGCACCAAAAAAUAAAUACCCCCUGCUAGCUGGGACCCACCAUAGUGGGUGGCUGACUUGUGGGCCUACUAAGUUGACGAGGACGGAGGGCUUUGUCAACUUAGUCAAUAUGAACGAUUCUAGCUCCAGUGACCGUACGAUGUCCAUCCAACGGCCAUAGUGCUUCUUCAACCUCUGGUCUUCUUGCUCCAGCCGCCCAAAGCAGCGCCGGUCGUGCCGCGUGCUCCCGCCUCUCGUGGCCGGCUGUGAUGCCGCGGAGGCCUCACCGCCCCUACUACUCCCACCACUGGCCCAGGGUAUCCCUCUACUCACCCACACCCCCUGUUAUUCUGCGGUGACAGCAGCCUCACGCCGCAGCCGAACCAGUGAACCCUCGUACUCCUCUCCGCGUGGGCAUCCACUGCCGCGUCUUCCCCGGCUCCUCGUCGUCCCCUUCCUAGGCCUCGCCGUCGUCCACCGCCUUGGUGCUCUCGGCGCGGCAUGGUCAAUGUGGUCAACGACCGACUUCCAUCGGAAGAGUACUGCACGUGGAGAGGCUGACAGCUGGGUCCAAGGCCACGGCCCAGUUUUUUUGUGAUUUACCAAGUAAGUCGCUUUGUCAGGCCUGUUGGGCUGCAAAUCUUUCAAGACGAGGAGAGCUUCAUUCGGCUGGCCGAGAAAAUGGCCUAUCAGUAAUGAGAAAUGGGCUGUACAUUUUUAAAACACAUCAAACCGGCAAUUAGUUUCAAAUAUCUUUUUCUCAUUUCGAGAUUUUAAAUUACAUUAAUUUUUAUGCGUGGAGAAUUUGUUGGAUCUUAUAUUGAUAUACAUUUAUUUUUAAAAUCAGUUUGAAUGUGAGUCGAAAUUUUGGGAUUAAAAACAGUUCGGACCGCACCGAAAUAUGCAAAAUUUCGUAUAAUUUUUUAACCGUGGCCACAAUAUGGGCUGUAAUGCUAACAAAAAGAAUAUGGGCUCCAAAUAAAACCUUAAGAAUUAGCAAAUGGGCUGUAAAUUAUUAGAAAUAAUGGCAGAUGGGCUGUAUGCUGUUUUCCACAGAUUUGAGGCUUUCCUAAAAAAAGGUUGACGCACAAGCAGUGACUGUUGGAUGGCCAUCCAACGACCGUCGUGCUUCUUCAAUCUCUGCUCUUCCUGCUCCAGCCGCUCAAACAAGCGCCGGCGGGACUGCCUGCUCCCUCCUCCUCGCGGCCGGCUGUGCUGCCGCGCAGGCCUCACUGCCCCACCGUACUCCCAUCGCUGGCCUAGCCAUCCCUCUACUCACCCACACCUGCUGUUAUUCUCCGGCGACGGCAGACGAACCAGUAAACCCUCGUUCAGUCGUACUCCCCUCCGCGUCGGAAACAACUGCGGAGUCUUCCCUGCCUCCGUGUCGUUCCCUUCCUAGGCCUCGCCGUCGUCCACCGCCCUGGUGCUCUCGGCGCGGCCUGGUCAACGCGGUCAACGACCGACAUGCAUCUGAAGUGGACUGUACGUGGAGAGGCCGACAGCUGGGUCCACGGCCGCACGCAAGGAAAUGCCUCCUUAUUACGCGCAAAAUAAUGAUUCCUCCACCUGACAUCGGGGACCCACUGAAAGGGCCUCAGUAUUUCGCGAAAAAAACGUUACCGCCGCUGACAGCUCGGACCCACCAGCUAUAUCUUCGCACGCAAGGAAGUGCCUCCUUAUUACGCACAAAAAAAUGAAUACUCCCCCUGUUAGCUGGGACCCAGUAUAGUGGCAGGCUGACUUGUGGGCCUACUAAGUUGACGGGGAUGGAGGGCUUUGUCAACUUAGUCAAUAUGCACGAUUCUAGCUCCAGUGACCGUACGAUGUCCAUCCAACGGCCGUAGUGCUUCUUCAACCUCUGGUCUUCUUGCUCCAGCCGCCCAAACCAGCGCCGGUCGUGCCUCGUGCUCCUGCCUCCCGUGGCCGGCUGCGAUGCGGCGGAGGCCUCACCGCCCCUACUACUCCCACCGCUGGCCAGGCCAUCCCUCUACUCACCCACACCCCCUGUUAUUCUGUGGCGACGGCAGCCUCACACCGCAGCGAACCAGUGAACCCUCGUACUCCUCUACGCGUGGGCAUCCACUGCCGCGUCUUCCCCGGCUCCGCGUCGUCCCCUUCCUAGGCCUCGCCGUCGUCCACCGCCCUGGUGCUCUCGGCGCGGCGUGGUCAACGUGGUCAAGGAACGGCUUCCAUCGGACGUGGACUGUACGUGGAGAGGCUGACAGCUGGGUCCACGGCCGCAGCAAGGAAGUGCCUCCUUAUUACGCGCAAAAUAAUUAUUCCUCCACCUGACAGCAGGGACCCACCGGACGGGCCACCAUAUUUCGCGAAAAAACGUUUCCCCCCUGACUGCUGGGACCCACCAGCUACACCUUCGCACGCAAGGAAGUGCGUCCGGGUAAAAAAAAUGAUUCGCCCCCCUGACUGCUGGGACCCACCAGCUACAUCUUCGCACGCAAGGAAGUGCCUGACAGUCGGGACCCACCUGGUCGAAGCGUACGUAGCGUUGUCAUUCUGGUCGCGGACGUGUACGUACAUACUGGUCGAUGUAGAGGCGCGCACGUGUCGUAGAUGUAGAGGCGCGCACGUGUCGUAGAUGUAGAGGCGCGCACGUGUCGUAGUAGAGGCGCGCACGUAGCAUGUACACGUACGUACAGCGGCGAGGGUGCAAGAAAGAAAAUACGGCCACGUACGUACAUAUGGGCAGGGUCUCGAACGCCUACUCGCGCAUACGUACAUGGCUGGGUCGGAAUGGAGAAACAGCGUCGUCGUCGUGUUCAUGGGGAGCCAACCGGCUAGGUCGGAACGGAAUGCGUGGUCGUGUUCAUCGGGAGGGCUUGGACGGAACAGGCAAUGGAAACGAGGCCUGGCGUACCGCACAACGAAGGAAACGGCCUUGUGUUCGACCGGCCAUGUUCGAAACGGGGUCCUGUUGAUCGGGAGGGGCCUGGCGUACCGCAAAACGGAGGAAACGGACCUCCUACGGUCGAAACGGGGGUCCUGUUGAUCGGGAGGGGUGUGGCGUACCGCAAAAUGGACGAAACGGACUUGUGUUGGAGCGCUACGGUCGAAACGGGGGGGGGGGAGGGGUGUGGCGUACCGCAAAACGGGACUCGACGGGAUACUGUUCAUCUCCACCGUCGACCUCCUCCAGCCUCCACGGGCUACCGUCGACCUCCUCCAGCCUCCACGGGCUCCUAUUCAUCCAGCCUCCACCGCGCGCUACUCCACCGGCUACUGUUCAACCACCCCUCCACGGGCACCCCUCCACCGUCUACUGUUCAUCCAGCCCUCCACACCACGGGGUCCUGUUCAACCACCCCUCCAUGGCCACCCCUCCACCGUCUACUGUUCAUCCAGCCCUCCACACCAUGGGUUCCUGUUCAUCCAGAGGCAACGCCACCGCUCACUGUUCAUCCAAACCCCCCCGCAACGCUCACUGUUCAUCCUAGAGGCAGCAUCGAUCGGCUUCAGUUAGCAGCAGUAGCGAAGGAAUCGCUCCAUCGGGUUCAGUUAAUAGCCAUGAAUCGAUCGCUCGUGUUCAGUAACGCGUAGCCUGCAGUGCAAUCGCUCGGGUUCAGUUAGAGCCCAACGCCUCGCUCGGCUUCAGUUAGAGCCAACACCUCGCACACACACGCGUACGUACGAGAGAAACGCGCAUCGCUCCGCCCCCGACCUCCCACCGUAACCGGCAACUCCCCGAAAUUUUCCUCCCCCUCGCUUCUACCAUGGUUUUUCCGUCAUGGACGACCCAAAGAAUGUCAUGCAGCUGCGUCUCCGGCCCGCCCAGGAUGAAAAGCCCAUUUUCUGUCAUGAUUUUUUGUCAUAGAAGUAGGAGCCCACCACAUCUAUGAUGAUACCGGGUUUUGUCACAAUUAUCGUCAUAGAAGUGUCAUAUGUAUGACAGAAAAAAAUUUCGUUCGGCCCAAAAUGUCACGGAUGUGUCUUUUUUUUGUAGUGUCCGUGAUCGAUUCCCCCUCCGGCAGAGCGCCGACGAAGGUUCCAAGAUGGGAUCUCGCGGAUACAGAAGGUUACGGCGGUGGAAAUUGUUUUUCGGUGGCUCCCUGGAUGUUUUCGGGGUACGUAGGUAUAUAUAGGAGGAAGAAGUAGGUCGGUGGCCGCUCGUGGGGCCCAGGAGGGGUGGGCGCGCCCUCCUAUCUCCUGGCCGCCUCGUUUGCUUCUUGACUUGCACUCCAAGUUCUCCGGAUCACGUUCGUUCCAAAAAUCACGCUCCCGAAGGUUUCAUUCCGUUUGGACUCCGUUUGAUAUUCCUUUUCUUCGAAAUACUGAAAUAGGCAAAAAAACAGCAAUACGGGCUGGGCCUCCGGUUAGUAGGUUAGUCCCAAAAAUGAUAUAAAUGUGUAAAAUAAAGCCCAUAAACAUCCAAAAGGGGUAAUAUAAUAGCAUGGAACAAUCAAAAAUUAUAGAUACGUUGGAGACGUAUCAAGCAUCUCCAAGCUUAAUUCCUGCUCGUCCUCGAGUAGGUAAAUGAUAAAAACAGAAUUUUUGAUGUGGAAUGCUACCUAGCAUAAUUCUCAAUGUAAUUUUCUUUAUUGUGGCAUGAAUGUUCAGAUCCAAAUGAUUCAAGCUAAAAGCUUAUAAAACAUAAAAAAUAAUAAUGCUUCGAAGCAUACUAACAAAUAACCAUGUCCUAUCAAAAUAGCAUAGCCAAAGAAAGUUUAUCCCUACAAAAUCAUAUAGUUAGGCCAUGCUUCAUUUUCAUUACACAACAUACUCCCAUCAUGAACAACCCCGAUGACGAGCCGAGCAAUUGGUUCAUACUUUUUAACACGCUUCAGCCUUUUCAACUCUUACGCAAUACAUGAGCGCAAGCCAUGGACAUAGCACUAUGGUGUAUAUGGUGGUAGUUGUGAGGACAAAAAGGGAGAAGAUAGUCUCACAUCAACUAGGCGUAUCAACGGGCUAUGGAGAUGCCCAUCAAUAGAUAUCAAUGUGAGUGAGUAGGGAUUGCCAUGCAACGGAUGCACUAGAGCUAUAAAUAUAUGAAAGCUCAACAAAAGAAACUAAGUGGGUGUGCAUCCAACUUGCUUGCUCACGAAGACCUAGGGCAUUUUGAGGAAGCCCAUCAUUGGAAUAUACAAGCCAAGUUCUAUAAUGAAAAAUUCCCACUAGUAUAUGAAAGUGACAACAUAGGAGACUCUCUAUCAUGAAGAUCAUGGUGCUACUUUGAAGCACAAGUGUGGUAAAAAGGGUAGUAACAUUGUCCCUUCUCUCUUUUUCUCUCAUUUAUUUAUAUUUUUUUCUCUCUCUUUUUUUCUUUUUUUUUCUCUUUUUUUUCUUUUGCCUUUCUUUUUUUAUUUGUAAAGUCCGAAGUCUCAUCCCGACUUGUGGGGGAACCAUAGUCUUCAUCAUCCUUUCCUCACUGGGACAAUGCUCUAAUAAUAAAGAUCAUCACACUUUUAUUGAUUUACAACUCAAGAAUUACAACUCAAGGCUAGAACAAGAUAUGACUCUAUAUGAAUGCCUCCGGCGGUGUACCGGGAUAUGCAAUGAAUCAAGAGUGACAUGUAUGAAAAUUAUGAAGGUGGCCUUGCCACAAAUACGAUGUCAACUACAUGAUCAUGCAAAGAGCAAUAUGACAAUGAUGAAGCGUGUCAUAAUAAACGGAACGGUGGAAAGUUGCAUGGCAAUAUAUCUCGGAAUGGCUAUGGAAAUGCCAUAAUAGGUAGGUAUGGUGGCUGUUUUGAGGAAGGUAAAUAAUGGUUGCAUGAUACCGGCGAAAGUUGCGCGGCACAAUAGAGGCUAACAAAGUGGAAGGAUGAGUGUGCGUAUAUCCAUGGACUCGCAUUAGUCAUAAAGAACUCAUAUACUUAUUGCAAAAGUUUACUUAGCCCUCGAAGCAAAGUACUACUACGCAUGCCCCUAGAGGGAUAGAUUGGUAGGAAAAGACCAUCGCUCGUCCCCGACUGCCACUCAUAAGGAAGACAAUCAAAAGAGCACCUCAUGCAACAAAUUUGUCACACAACUUUUACCAUACGUGCAUGCUACGGGACUUGCCAACUUCAACACAAGUAUUUCUCAAUUUCAUAAUUACCCACUAGCAUGACUCUAAAAUUACUACCUCUAUAUCUCAAAACAAUUAUCAAGCAUCAAAUUGAUCAUAGCGUUUUAUGCACUUUCUAUGAUAGUUUUUAUUAUACCCAACUUGGAUGCCUACCAUUCUAGACCAAAUUUAUAACCAUAGAAAAUACCAUGCUGUUCUAAAAGACUCUCAAAAUAAUAUAAGUGAAGCAUGAGAGACUAGCAAUUUCUACAAAAUUAAGCCACCUCGUGCUCUAAAAGAUAUAAGUGAAGCACUAGAGCAAAAACUAUCAAGCUCAAAAGAUAUAAGUGAAGCACAUAGAGUGUUCUAGCAAAUACUAAUUAAGUGGACUUCUCCCAAAAGGUGUGUACAGCAAGGAUGAUUGUGGUAAACUAAAAAAAAGACUAAUAUAAUACACGAUGCUCCAAGCAAAACACAUAUCAUGUGGCGAAUAAAAAUAUAGCUCCAAGUAAAGUUACCGAUAAACGAAGACGAAAGAGGGGAUGCCUUCCCAGGGCAUCCCCAAGAUUAGGCUUUUGGCUAUUCUUGAGUAUCUUGGGGUGCCUUGGGCAUCCCCAAGCUUAGGCUUUUGCCACUCCUUAUUCCAUAGUCCAUCAAAUCUUUACCCAAAACUUGAAAACUUCACAACACAAAACUCAACAGAAAUCUCGUAAGCUCCGUUAGUGAAAGAAAGCAAAACCACCACAUAAGGUACUGUAAUGAACUCAUUCUUUAUUUAUAUUGGUGUUAAACCUACUGUAUUCCAACUUAUCUAUGGUUUAUAAACUAUUUUACUAGCCAUAGAUGCAUCAAAAUAAGCAAACAACACACGAAAAACAGAAUCUGUCAAAAACAGAAUAGUCUGUAGUAAUCUGUAACUAACGCAAACUUCUGGAACCCCAAAAAUUCUACAAAAAUAGGAAGUCCUAGGAAAUUUGUCUAUUGAUCAGCAGCAAAAAGAAUCGACGCAAAAACACUUUUCUGUGAUUUACUAAAUUUUUUCUCGUGCGUGCAAAGUUUCUGUUUUUCAGCAGAAUCAAAUCAACUAUCAUCAUAGGUUAUCCUAUAGGUUCUACUUGGCACAAAACACUAAUUAAAAGAUAAAAACACAUAUAAACAGAGAGUAGAUGCAAAAUUUAUUACUAAAUAUAAACAAAAAAAACACAAAUAAAAUUGGGUUGCCUCCCAACUAGCGCUAUCGUUUAACGCCCCUAGCUAGGCAUAAAAGCGAAGAUAGAUCUAAGUAGUGCCAUCUUUGGCACUCAAUUCAUAAGUAGCUCGCAUGAUAGAUUCAUAAGGUAAUUUAACUUUCUUUCUUGGAAAGUGUUCCAUGCCUUUCCUUAAUGAAAAUUGGAAUCUAAUAUUCCCUUCCUUCAUAUCAAUAAUCGCACCAAUCGUUCUAAGGAAAGGUCUACCAAGAAUAAUAGGGCAAGAAAGAUUGCAAUCUAUAUCAAGAACAAUAAAAUCUACGGGCACCAAAUUUCUAUUUGCAAUAAUGAGAACAUCAUUGAUCCUUCCCAUUGGCUUUUUAAUGGUGGAAUCCGCAAGGUGCAAAUUUAAAGAGCAAUCAUCAAGAUCAUGGAAACCUAGAAUAUCACAUAAAGUUUUCGGAAUCGUGGAAACACUAGCACCCAAACCACACAAAGCAAAACACUCAUGAUCUUUAAUUUUAAUCUUUAUAGUAGGUUCCCACUCAUCAUUAAGUUUUCUAGGUAUAGAAACUUCCAAAUUAAGUUUUUCAUCAUAAGAUUGCAUCAAGGCAUCAACGAUAUUUUUUAUAAAAAGCUUUAUUUUGACUAUAAGCAUGAGGAGAAUUAACAAUGGAUUGCAACAAGGAAAUACAAAUUUCUAAAGAACAAUUAUCAUAAUCAAAUUCCUUGAAAUCCGAGAUAGUGGGUUCAAUGCUAUUUAAAGUCAUGACCUCUCCAUUCCCACUUUUACCAAAUUUAGUAUCAAGAUCUAAAAACUCCGAAUUCUUGGGGUGCCUUCUAACUAAAGUUGACUCAUCUCCAGUCCCAUUAUUAUCAAGAUUCAUAUUGCAAAACAAAGAUCUAAUAGGAGACACAUCAAUAACUUUAAGAUCUUCAUCAUUAUUUUCAUGGAAACUAGAAGAACACGCCUUUACAAGGCAAUCUUUCUCAGCAUGCAAUCUAGCGGUUCUUUCCUUGCACUCAUCAAUGGAAAUUAUCAUUGCUUUGAGAGACUCAUUGAUAUCAUGCUUAGGAGGAGUAGGUCUAAGUUUAAGAGAAUCAACAUCAAGCGAAAGUCUAUCAACGUUCCUAGCCAAAUCAUCAACUUUGAGCAAUUUUUGUUCAAGCAAAGCAUUAAAAUUCUUUUGAGAAAUCAUAAAUUCUUUCACACUAUUCUCAAAGUCAGAGGGCAUCUUAUUGAAAUUACCAUAAGAAUCAUUGUAGGAAUUUCCAUAAUUAUUAGAGGAAUUACUAGGGAACGGUCUAGCAUUAACGUUUCCUCUAUAAGCAUUGUUUCCAAAACUAUUCCUACCAACAAAAUUCACAUCCAUAGAUUCAUUACUAUUCUCAAUCAAAGUAGACAAAGGCAUAUCAUUAGGAUCAAGAGGAGCAUUCUUUGUAGCAAACAAUUUCAUAAGUUCAUCCAUCUUUCCACUCAAAACAUUAAUUUCUUCUAUAGCAUGCACUUUUUUACUAGAAGAUCUUUCGGUGUGCCAUUGAGAAUAAUUAGCCAUAAUAUUAUCAAGAAGUUUUGUAGCAUCUCCUAACGUGAUUUCCAUAAACGUGCCUCCCGCGGCCGAAUCUAAAAGAUUUCUAGAAGCAAAGUUCAAACCAGCAUAAAUUUUUUGUAUGAUCAUCCAUAAAUUCAAACCAUGAGUAGGGCAAUUGCGAAUCAUCAAUUUCAUUCUUUCCCAAGAUUGGGCAACAUGCUCAUGAUCAAGUUGUUUAAAAUUCAUAAUAUCGUUCCUAAGAGUGAUAAUCUUAGCGGGAGGAAAAUACUUAGAGAUAAAAGCAUCUUUGCACUUGUUCCAAGAAUCAAUACUAUUUUUAGGCAAAGACGAAAACCAAACUUUAGCACGAUCUCUAAGUGAAAACAGAAAUAACUUCAAUUUAACAAUAUCAUUGUCCGUAUCUUUCUUCUUUUGCAUAUCACACAAAUCAACAAAGUUGUUUAGAUGAGUAGCGGCAUCUUCACUAGGAAGGCCAGCGAAUUGAUCUUUCAUAACAAGAUUUAGCAAAGCAGUAUUGAUUUCACAAGAUUCAGCAUCAUUAAGAGGAGCAAUUGGAGUACUAAGGAAAUCAUUAUUAUUGGUAUUUGAAAAAUCACACAAUUUGGUAUUAUAUUGUGCCAUGGCGACAAGCAAUGCAACACACAAGAAAACAGAAGAAGGCAAGCGAAAAAGAGAGGAGAAGAUUGGGAAAGAGAGGGCAAAUAAAACGGCAAGGGUGAAGUGGGGGAGAGGAAAACGAGAGGCAAAUGGCAAAUAAUGUAAAUGCGAGGGAGAUGAGUUUGUGAUGGGUGCUUGGUAUGUCUUGACUUGAGCGAAGACCUCCAACGACGCAAGAGAUAGCACGUUGGCGGGAGAUCGAAUCUUGACUUGACUUGGUGGAGGCUUCCCCGGCAACGGCGCCAGAAAUCCUUCUUGCUACGUCUUGAGCUUGCGUUGGUUUUCCUUGAAGAGGAAAGGGUGAUGCAACACAGUAGCAUAAGUAUUUCCCUCAGUUUUUGAGAACCAAGGUAUCAAUCCAGUAGGAAGCUCCUAGAAAGUCCCACGCACCUACACAAACAAACAAAGAACUCGCAACCAACGCAAUAAAGGGGUUGUCAAUCCCUUCACGGCCAUUGCGAAAGUGAGAUCUGAUAGAGAUAAUAUGAUAAGAUAAAUAUAUUUUUGAUAUUUUAUAAUAUAGAUACAAAAAGUAAAGAUGCAAAUAAAAGUAGAUUGAAAGCUUAUAUGAUAAAAGAUAGACCCGGGGGCCAUAGGUUUCACUAGUGGCUUCUCUCAAGAUAGCAUAAGUAUUACGGUGGGUGAACAAAUUACUGUCGAGCAAUUGAUAGAAAAGCAAAUAAUUAUGAGAUUAUCUAGGCAUGAUCAUGUACAUAGGCAUCACGUCCGUGACAAGUAGACCGACUCCUGUCUGCAUCUACUACUAUUACUCCACACAUCGACCGCUAUCCAGCAUGCAUCUAGAGUAUUAAGUUCAUAAAGAACAGAGUAACGCAUUAAGAAAGAUGACAUGAUGUAGAGGGAUAAACUCAUGCAAUAUGAUAUAAACCCCAUCUUUUUAUCCUCGAUGGCAACAAUACAAUAUGUGCCUUGCAACCCUUUCUGUCACUGGGUAAGGACACCGCAAGAUUGAACCCAAAGCUAAGCACUUCUCCCAUGGCAAGAAAGAUCAAUCUAGUAGGCCAAACCAAACUGAUAAUUUGAAGAGACUUGCAAAGAUAACUCAAUGAUACAUGAAAGAAUUCAGAGGAGAUUCAAAUAUUUCUCAUAGAUAAACUUGAUCAUAAACCCACAAUUCAUCAGAUCUCGACAAACACACCGCAAAAAGAGUUUACAUCGAAUAGAUCUCCACAAGAGAGGGGGAGAACAUUGUAUUGAGAUCCAAAAAGAGAUAAGAAGCCAUCUAGCUAAUAACUAUGGACCCGAAGGUCUGUGGUAAACUACUCACAACUCAUCGGAGGGGCUAUGGUAUUGAUGUAGAAGCCCUCCGUGAUCAAUUCCCCCUCCGGCGGAGUGCCGGCAAAGGUUCCAAGAUGGGAUCUCGCGGAUACAGAAGGUUACGGCGGUGGAAAUUGUUUUUUGGUGGCUCCCUGGAUGUUUUCGGGGUACGUAGGUAUAUAUAGGAGGAAGAAGUAGGUCGGUGGCCGCUCGUGGGGCCCAGGAGACAGGGGGCGCGCCCAGGAGGGGUGGGCGCGCCCUCCUAUCUCCUGGCCGCCUCGUUUGCUUCUUGACUUGCACUCCAAGUUCUCCGGAUCACGUUCGUUCCAAAAAUCAUGCUCCCGAAGGUUUCAUUCCGUUUGGACUCCGUUUGAUAUUCCUUUUCUUCGAAAUACUGAAAUAGGCAAAAAAAACAGCAAUACGGGCUAGGCCUCCGGUUAGUAGGUUAGUCCCAAAAAUGAUAUAAAUGUGUAAAAUAAAGCCCAUAAACAUCCAAAAGGGGUAAUAUAAUAGCAUGGAACAAUCAAAAAUUGUAGAUACGUUGGAGACGUAUCAAGGUGGGUGGAGCAGAUACCUCUGGCCUCUCGGCUUCUCGUUGCCACAACUCGUCGUCUUAAUGCAGACAACAUUUCCAAGGUCAUGUCCCCUUAUUUCCUCUUAUUUACAAACGGAAGUUAAUAUGAUUUGAAGUGUUCGUUGCAUAGAUGAUUGUAUUAGUUACCUGUGUGAGGACUGUAGAGUAACCCAACGCCUAUAUUCACAAAUUCAACUGCCAGACUUAUAUACUGCACACUAUCUACUUUUUACAGUUAGUUUUUCUAAGAUGAUGUAACUAAUCGAUUAGUGAAUUGCAUUUAGGAGAGAUAGAGCUGUUCAUGGAUGUAUUGGUUGUCUGCAACAAUUUGUGCAAAUGUUCUUUCUCUUGUUUGCUAAUAUCAUCAUUUCACAAUCUGUGACAGCCUGCUUACUUGGGUGGUACUGAACUUCAGCAAUAUUUGGUAGCCAGACCAUACUUGCUCCCAGUACACAGAAAAAGUGCCAGUAUGUCUAUAUAUAUACUCCCCCAUCCCAAAUUAGUACAAAGUUGUACUAUAGUUGACACACUUAUCUUGGGAUGGAGGGAGUAAUAUAAUAGUGGCAAUCCUGAUCCAUUUGAACCAAUGCCAGACAUACAUUAUGAAACGAUGGAGUAUCCCUGUCAUACCAUUUUGUUGCUGCACGAGUGCAGAUGAUGCUAUGACUGCGGCUGUACUUUCUUUGAGAGUUAACCUGCUCUUAGCUCUGUAAGGUGUGGCACCCCGGCUCAGAGAAACCGGAACGCCCCGUAUUCCAGCCCAGAGAUUGAGAAGUCUUCUGGAAUACGGCACUGCUUAAGAUAGAACAAACUAGCUUUCUAUUAUUACACGAAUAUGAAUACAAGGUCUCCGAUAUUACAAUGAAUAACAUCGGCACGUCGACACUACUCCAUCCUCAAUUGCUCUAUGCAAGCAGCAGAACAACUCGAAGCAGUGGAAAAACUUCUAGUAGCGGAAAAACGAGGACAGUGGUGAACUCCACUCCGCAGGGACUCUGGCUGGAACGCUUAUCCUAGCUCACACGAACGGAAACCACGACAAGCAAUCAAGCAAUCACGGCAUGACCUGCAAACUGGCAUGACACGCCAGGUCAGUACAUUGAAUGUACUUGCAACCUCACAAUAACCAGAAGCAUUCAAGACAAACAACAGCAUGGCAAUUACAGGUUAAGUAGGAAUUAUCAUGAGAUCAUCAGGAUAACAUGGCAUGAACAACAUGAACAUGAUAUAGGUAGAACAAUAUGAGCAUGGCAUGAACAUAUAAAUCUGACGAUACUAGCAUGCAACAUGAUGACGUUAUCAUGCACCAACUUACUCUGUUCAGGUUACCUCGUAACCAUCACAUGCAUCACUUACCAACCUCGGACAUCACACGAUCAUCUCAGGAUCAAAUCAAGCUUGGUAUAAACAAUACCGGAGUAAUCAUUAAAUGACCACAAGGAGCUUGAUCUUUACCCAUGAUUCUCGCACAACAUCACGAAUAUCCAACAAAUCGGUAUCCUCGAUACCACGGUGAUCAUUCAUGGAUCACAAAUGGAACCACUCUGGGCUCAACGGGUUACCUCGUAACCAAACGGUGAUCAUUCACGGAUCACAUAACCAACUUAUCUCAUCAUCGAACCAGGGUUGUUAUUAAUCAAGUUAUUAUUAUUAAUACUGUUGACCCAUAGUGUGACCAACUACAAAAUGGGCCCUUAUCCGCGGGCGCGGCUAUCGAUAGAUUUAGUAUACACUCUGCAGAGGUUAGUACACUGUACCCACACCACGGAACCCAUGGCCUCGUGCUCCCAUUCAAGUGGACCAACGGCGUUCUGACAAAACCGUCCUACUGCCAUGACACCCUCCCGGCCACUCCGACAAACUCCCCUCUGGGAUAAGUCCUGGGUGGCCCCGUGCCUACCAAAGGCACCAACGGCCACCGUCGUGGCAAAACAAAACGGUCCCAAACGGGGACAAAAGCGCUUAUCAUCCAACUACGGGCACACAAGGUUAUGUUUGCUUACCGGGCCAGGGUACCGCAUGCCCAUAACCUUCCCUCGUUGGAGGCACCGGCGAGAGGCAUGACAAUAGACCCAGUUAGGACCUCCCAUAAAGGUAAGCGUGGUUGCACUGGUCAGCUCGAUAUGGUGGCACCAUGACUCAGCCAACAGUUGUUCUUGAAUGCAAAUAUGCUGAGCCAUGAUAAAAUAACAUGAUGCAAUUACAAUGCAUGAGGAUGAUAUCAACAUAAGCAUGGGGGUGCAACAUAACUAUCAUCCAUAUCAACAUUGAAUCAUAUCCAACUGAGCAUGGCAUAAUGACGAGCAUGAAUGUUACAAUUACAACACUACUCAUAGCAUGACAUAACCAUUAGCAUCAACAAUAAGUGCCAUGCAAGAGCACAUCAAUAGCAUAACCGAGUAAGCACUUAACCAACUAACAGCAAAGGAACAAUGCAUAUUAACGGUACUCGGUAACCGACGUUAGUCAUGCACCGAAGAACAUGACCAACCCAACAUGUACUACUAUCAAGCAUGGCCAAUAUGAAAAUAAUACUAGCAGGUAGAACAUGAUAACAGAGUGCAAGAAAACAUAGCAUGACGGUAAGCACCGAUCCAUAAGCAUAACCGAAAUAACGACAACAGUAGCAAAACAAACAUACAGUUAUUAAAGAUUCAAGUUAAAAACCAAUGCUACUGCAUGGCUAUCAUGCAAUGGUGGUUGUGUCUUGCCUGGGGUGGAAGAAAGCUCCGGGCAAAAGUGCAAGAAGCUUGCGGAAAGAAUCGCCGAAAAACGUUCUCUCUCGGAGGGGUCUGAUUUAGCGCAAGGGCAAAAUGGUUAUUUUCAGAAUGUUAACACAUGUUGAAAAUGAUACCAAUAAAACAUGCUCGAUGAAACGAAGAAGUGGGCUUUGGAAUCACCUCAAACGGAGUUGCGAGCAAAAAGUUAUAGCCCGACAAAAUCCAGGGACCAAUCUGUAAAAAGAUUCCUACAAACAGGCCCCUGAGCUGAAAAACAGAAAACGUUUUCUCAGGAAAUACGUCUUUAGAAUGGAGAAAGCUCAUUUUUGGAUAAAGCAGAGGCAAAAUGCGCUUACUUCACGUGAAAACGUACUUUCUGAAGUACGCUUCCACUUAACCACGUGGACAGUGGCGGGGCCGGGCGUGGGGUCGCUGACGUGCGGGUCCCGCGGGGUGGGGCCUGUCACUUAUCCACGUCGGCCGACCGGGUCAACGCGCGCAGAGGCGGGGCCAGGGUUUGCGCGGCUGACGGGUGGGGUCAGGGAAGAGGAGCGGGGCCCGCCUGGCUCCUGUCUCCUUCUUCCUCUCGCUGGCCCGACCGAAGCAGAGGAGAGGGCAGGGGAGGGACGACGGCGGCGAUGGUCCGGGCAGCUCCGGCACUCUCCGGCCGAGAUUCGGCCACCGCCGGAUGCGGGAGGCGAAGCCGCACCCAACCAGGGGUCCACGAGCGUCGGGGGAAGUGCAGAGCGGCCGCGGCUCGUGGCGGCAGAGAACAAGGGGCCGGCGGCCGGACCUGGGGAAGCACGACCACGAGCACUCCGGCACCAAACUGAGGGUCGGGGGAGAGGCGCGGACUACGGGGAAUCUUCUGGUGGGGUAGAUGGAAGAGAAGGGCUCGGGGCUGCCCGAAUUUAGGUGGUGGCCACCGGCGACCGAACCGGUCAUGGAGGAGGAAAGAGCAACUCCGGCGAUGGAUGGAGUGGUCGGUGAGGGAUCUGGGAGUGAGGGGAGGAGCUUGAGAUGCUUAGAGAGGCUCGAGGUGGGCUUAUAUAGCCGCGGGGAGGGGUGUGCCGCGCUGUCGUCGCCGCGGACGCGUGGCCGGUGCCGCGGACGCGUGUGCGCGUGCUCGAGCUCGGAGUUAGGCGACGAGAGGGAACAUGAGGAGUGGCUCACGGGGAAGAGGCGGCCAAGGGAGCGCAGGGAGGAAGAGGAUGGCGAGCUCCGAGCCAAACCGCCACUGUUCGUCCGUGGGCGCGCGGCAGCUUGCGUCGGCGAGGAAGGGGACGAAGGGGGAGAGGGGUCCAGGAGAACUGCGACGACGAGAGGAAGCUAGGGGACAUGCCCGUGCUCGCUGAGACGCCGAGCAGAGGAGGGGCCCGAGCAAGAAGACGCCCAGGACGCGGCCAACACCGGCAGAGCGCGCGCAUUGCAUGCCAAAACUCGUGAUCACCGCGUGAGCUGGAGAGGAGAAGGCGCCAAAGGCUGGCAAACGUUGUCUAGUGGUAAGUCCUUCCUGGGUAGGUUCCUACUGCGGUGGUAGAUCGAUGAAAAACUCUCUGGUUAAAUGGUAAGCAACCUCUGAAGUUUACUGCAGUAAACUUGGCCGAGGACUACUGAUCAACGGGAAGGGGAUUGGAGCCAGAGAGUUUUUCUGGGGUGAUUAGCUUAGGAAGGACUAUAAUCCUGUUAAGUUUGAGAAGAUUCGGAUCAAGAUUUAAUAUAGUUGCUUAACAACCACAUAAACUGGCCCAGAAGCAAAAACAGGAAGAAGCACUCACAUGGAGCAUCAACUUGAGCUCAAAUUUGGCAAGGACUAAUGAGUUGAUCAUAUAAAGAUGCUGUAAAAGUUUCAUACCAAUAGGAUUCACCAAAAUGGUACUUGCUUCACAAACAUCCUUGCUGACCAGAAACUUGCAAUAAUUUUGGUGAUCAAAUGGAUCAAUGAAAUGGUGCCAAAUUUGGUGGAGAGAUGUUAUUUGGGUAGGAGAACAAUCUGGUAAUUUAUCAAGAUUUUUGAAGCAAAAUAAAAUGCACUUGCUUCACAACCUGAAAAUAUUGUCAGAAUCAAAGAUUUGGUCCUGGGCUCACAUAGAUGAUUGGAUGAGGCUGAAAUUUGGAGGAUUGUCAUAAUAUGAGCACAUGAAGGAGUGUGCAUAAUUUCAACUCACUUGGGUACCCCUAGCUAGCACUUCCUUCACAAUGCCUUCUGUCUGACAGAAAGUUUGAAAAAUUGCUGAGGAAGAUUGGCCAGGCAAAUAAAGUUUAAUUUUUGCAUGAGGCCAUUAUUUGGACAUAAGAGAAUGCCCAAGAAGUUUGGGAGCCAACAAGGAAAUCUAGGUGGCACUUCCUUCACAGAAAGCCACACUGGACAGAAAUGAAGAAUAAUUACUGGGGAAUUAUUCUUGGGCUAGGACAGGAACGUUUGGGCAUAUUUGAGCAACAUAUGACCCAAAGGAAUUAUGAGAAUUAUUUGGGAAUUUUUGGAUGGACAGAAAUAUAGGUUGCUUCACAACCUAGGGCAGACAGGGUUAUUCCUUUAAUAGAAAAAGGAAUAUUCCUGAGAAAAAGAUUUUAGGGUUUGGUCAAGGAGUGAAGUGACAUGAUCUUGGCAAGGUUUUGAGAAUUAUGAGCCACUUGGGAGGGGGAAUGAGGAUGAUUUCCCAGGUGGCAAGGCCACAAAACCACUCCAAAAAGAAAAACAGAGCAAAAACCAAAUAAAUCAAAAGAAAAAGAAAAGGGCCAAAAUCCAGGCUGUUACAUAAGGACUGUUUCUUUUGUUUGGUCAUAGAUCGUGGUAGUAAUUACAUUCUCCGUGAUAAACAUUUUGGAAGAAAUGGCGGGAUGCUAAGAUCGAUUCCUAGUUGUUUCGUGCAGGUUUCUUUGUGACAAUCUGGAUUGCCGUGGUGAUGUUCAAGUUCAAUUAUAUUCCAUGAAGGUAGGCUGCUUUGAAGGUUCAUUCUUGUUUGUUAAACUUUUGGUGAACACGAAUCAAAUGAAUUACAUAAUAAGUGUAUAAUUAUUUGAAGUUUGAACACCAAGUUAUAUUCAUAAAUUCAAUCGCCGGAAUUAUGUACUGCACACUAUCUAUAAUCUGGAGUAUUGUACAAACGAUUUGAUGUAAGUUAUAUUAUAGCGUCCUUCAGCCAUUCAGAUGAGAUUUUGUAGUUUUUCCUGUUGUACAGCAACAACAUAUACCAUAACCCAGUUUCUAGACUAAAUUAUAUAAAUGAUGGGGAAGUAUGUACAUAACUCUCAACAAGCAAUUAUGUGCAUAUGCAUACAUAGCUAUACAUUGAUACGUCUCCGUCGUAUCUAUAAUUUUUGAUUGUUCCAUGCCAAUAUUCUACAACUUUCAUAUACUUUUGGCAACUUCUUAUACUAUUUUUAGGACUAACAUAUUGAUCCAGUGCCCAGUGCCAGUUCCUGUUUGUUGCAAGUUUUUUGUUUCGCAGAAAAUCCAUAUCAAACGGAAUCCAAACGGAAUAAAAACUGACGGAGAAUUUUUUGGAAUAUUUAUGAUUUUUGGGAAGAAGAAUCAACGCGAGACGAUGCCCGAGGGGGCCACGAGGCAGGGGGCACGCCACGGGGGUCAGGCGCGCCCUGGACCCUCGUGGCCACCCCGUAAGGCGGUUGGAGCCCUUCUUUCGCCGCAAGAAAGCUAAUAUCCAGAUAGAGAUCGUGUCCAAAAUUCAGCCCAAUCGGAGUUACGGAUCUCCAGUUAUAAAAGAAACGGUGAAAGGGCAGAAUCCAUAGCGCAGAAACAGAGGGAGACAGAGAGAGACAUAUCCAAUAUCGGAGGGGCUCUCGCCCCUCCCAUGCCAUGGAGGCUACGGACCAGAGGGGAAACCCUUCUCCCAUCUAGGGAGAAGGUCAAGGAAGAAGAAGAAGGAGGGGGGCUCUCUCCCCCUCGCUUCCGGUGGUGCCGGAACGCCGCCGGGGCCAUCAUCAUCACCGCGAUCUACACCAACACCACCUUCAUCUUCACCAACAUCUCCAUCACCUUCCCCCAUCUAUCUACAGUGGUCCACUCUCCCGCAACCUGUUGUACCCUCUACUUGAACAUGGUGCUUUAUGCUUCAUAUUAUUAUCCAAUGAUGUGUUGCCAUCCUAUGAUGUCUGAGUAGAUUUUUGUUGUCCUAUCGGUAAUUGGUGAAUUGCUAUGAUUGGUUUAAUUUGCUUGUGGUUAUGUUGCUGUCCUUUGGUGCCCAUCAUAUGAGCGCGCGCGUGGAUCACACACCAUAGGGUUAGUUGUAUGUUGAUAGGACUAUGUGUUGGAGGGCAAGAGUGACAGAAGUUUCAACCUAGCAUAGAAAUUGAUGCAUACGGGAUUGAAGGGGGACCAAUAUAUCUUAAUGCUAUGGUUGGGUUUUACCUUAAUGAACGUUAGUAGUUGCGGAUGCUUGCUAAUAGUUUCAAUCAUAAGUGCAUAGAAUUCCAAGUCAGGGAUGACAUGCUAGCAGUGGCCUCUCCCACAUAAAACUUGCUAUCGGUCUAGUAAAGUAAUCAAUUGCUUAGGGACAAUUUCGCAACUCCUACCACCACUUUUCCACACUCGCUAUACUAACUUUAUUGUGUCUUUAUCUUAACAGCCCCUAGUUUUUAUUUACGUGCUCUUUAUUAUCUUGCAAACCUAUCCAACAACACCUACAAAGUACUUCUAGUUUCAUACUUGUUCUAGGUAAAGCGAACGUUAAGCGUGCGUAGAGUUGUAUCGGUGGUCGGUAGAACUUGAGGGAAUAUUUGUUCUACCUUUAGCUCCUCGUUGGGUUCGACAUUCUUACUUAUCGAAAGAGGCUACAAUUGAUCCCCUAUACUUGUGGGUUAUCAAGACCUUUUUCUGGCGCUGUUGCCGGGGAGUUAUAGCGUGGGGUGAAUAUUCUCGUGUGUGCUUGUUUGCUUUAUCACUAAGUAGUUUUUAUUUUGUGCUCUUGUUUUCUAUCUUUAGUUAUGGGUAGGAAAUGCAAAAUACCCAAAAAAUUAGUUGUACCUACUGAACCAAUGGUUGAAGAACCACUCAAAAUCUAUCCACUACUGAAGCUUUUUACUUGGAUCAUCUUCGAUCCCUUUGUGCUUGUGCUGAAACCCCAACUGGCUUAGUUGAGGGCAAAUCUUUAGAUGAGCAUGCUUGUUAUGUGCGACACCGCUUAUGUGAAAAAGGGAAACUUUUACUGGAUCAAAUUCAUCGUUUGCAAUGCUAUGCUUGGAAUUUAUGUGAAAUAUAUGAUUUUACUUGUUGUUCUGAAGACCCUAAGAAACACCUUCCCUACCAAUGUUUGUUUAGUGAUAAUGGAAUCGUAUCUUCGUGUGCUAAGGGUGUUUAUAAUUACUAUGAUGUUCAACAAAUUGAAGAAUUUGUUGCUUUUAAGGGUGCUUAUGAAAUUUCUUGUUUGAUUGAAAAGUAUGAUGCUACUCUUUACAAAUCUGAAAAUUUUGCCAUACUUAAAUAUUGUUAUGAUAAUUAUGCUUCUAAUGCCUGCUCCGCUGUCCAAGAAGAGACUAAUAUUUUGCAGGAGUCUAUGGAAGAAGGAAUUGAAAUUGUGAGCUCAUUGGAUGAAAAAGAUGAGGAGGAGAGCGAAGAACAAAAGGAGGAAGAGCGGAUUGAUCACCCGUGCCCACCUUCUAAUGAGAGUAACUCUUCAAAUCAUACAUUGUUUAAUUUCCCUUCGUGCUUACUGAAGGAUGAAUGCUAUGAUGAUUGUUAUGAUCCCGUUGAUUCUUUUGAAAUAUCCCUUUUUGAUGAUGCUUGCUAUGCUUGUGGCCAAGAUGCCAAUAUGAAUUAUGCUUAUGGAGAUGAACUUGCUAUAGUUCCUUAUGUUAAACAUGAAGUUGUUGCUAUUGCACCCACACAUGAUAGUCCUAUUAUCUUUUUGAAUUCUCCCGACUACACUAUAUCGGAGAAGUUUGCCCUUAUUAAGGAUUAUAUUGAUGGGUUGCCUUUUACCGUUGCACAUGAUGAUUUCGAUAAAUAUAAUAUGCAUGUGCUUGCUACUCCUACUUGCAAUUAUUAUGAGAGAGGAACUAUAUCUCCACCUCUCUAUGUUUCCAACAUGAUAAAAUUGCAAGAAACUGUUUAUACUAUGCAUUGGCCUUUACUUGAUGUUCAUGAAUUGUUCUUGUAUGACAUGCCGAUGCAUAGGAAGAGAUUUAGACUUCGUCAUUACAUGAUAUAUGUUACUUUGUGCUCACUACUAAAUUACAAGUCAUUGUUAAUUAAAAUUGGCUUUGAUAUACCUUGGAUCCGGGUGGAUCCAUUACUUGAGCACUAUAUGCCUAGCUUAAUGGCUUUAAAGAAAGCGCUGCCAGGGAGACAACCCGGAAGUUUUAGAGAGUCAUUUAUUUCUGUUGUGUGCUUUUAUAAGGUUUAUAAUAAAAAUAAUGUGCCAAGGUUUGCCUUUAGGAUGUUUUAGACUACUUGUUGGUUUGUGCGGUGCAGGACAGAAACUUUGGCUGUAGUGCGCGAUUUUAAUUUUUUUUACUGGAACGUCAAACGGUUCUGAAACUUUUUGCACUGUCUUUCUAUACAAAUUGUUUAUUUUUCCUAAUUUUGGCAGAAUUGUUGGAGUACCAGAAGUAUGGUGAAUGUUCAGAUUACUACAGACUGUCCUGUUUAAGACAGAUUCUGUUUUUGAUGCAUAGUUUGCUUGUUUUGAUGAAACUAUCGAUUUAUAUCAGUGGAUUAAGCCAUGGAAAAGUUAUAUUACAGUAGCUACAAUGCAAAAACAAAAUAUGAAUUGGUUUGCAACAGUACUUAGAGUAGUGAUUUGCUUUAUUAUACUAACGGAUCAUACCGAGUUUUCUGUUGAGUUUUGUGUGGAUGAAGUGUUCGAAGAUUGAGGAGGUCUCGAUGUGAGGAGAAGGAGGAGAGGCAAGAGCUCGAGCUUGGGGAUGCCGAAGGCACCCCAAGUAAAUAUUCAAGGAGACUCAAGCGUCUAAGCUUGGGGAUGCCCCGGAAGGCAUCCCAUCUUUCUUCAACAAAAUCGGUAUGUUUUCGGUUUCGUUUCGUUCAUGUGAUAUGUGCAAAUCUUGGAGCGUAUUUUGCAUUUGGUUUUCACUUUUGUUUUAUGCACCAUGAUGGUACGAGAUAGUCCUUGUUUGAUUUAUAGAAUGCUCAUUGCACUUCACUUAUAUCUUUUGAGUAUGGCUUUAUAGAAUGCUUCAUGUGCUUCACUUAUAUCAUUUGAAGUAUGGAUUGCCUGUUUCUCUUCACAAAGAAAACCGCCAUUUGUAGAAUGCUCUUUUGCUUCACUUAUAUUUGUUAGAGCGUGGGCAUAUCUUUUGUAGAAAGAAUUAAACUCUCUUGCUUCACUUAUAUCUAUUUAGAGAGUUGACAGGAAUUGGUCAUUCACAUGGUUAGUCAUAAAAUCCUACAUAAAACUUGUAGAUCACUGAAUAUGAUAUGUUUGAUUCCUUGCAAUAGUUUUGCGAUAUAAAGAUGGUGAUAUUGGAGUCAUGCUAGUGGGUAGUUGUGGAUUGUAGAAAUACUUGUGUUGAAGUUUGUGAUUCCCGUAGCAUGCACGUAUGGUCAACCAUUAUGUAACGAAGUUGGAGCAUGAGGUAUUUAUUGAUUGUCUUCCUUAUGAGUGGCGGUCGGGGACGAGCGAUGGUCUUUUCCUACCAAUCUAUCCCCCUAGGAGCAUGCACGUAGUACUUUGUUUCGAUAGCUAAUAGACUUUUGCAAUAAGUAUGUGAGUUCUUUAUGAGUAAUGCUGAGUCCAUGGAUUAUACGCACUCUCACCCUUCCAUCAUUGCUAGCCUCUUCGCUACCGUGCAUUGCCCUUUCUCACCUUGAGAGUUGGUGCAAACUUUGCCGAUGCAUCCAAACCCUGUGAUACGAUACGCUCUAUCACACAUAAGCCUCCUUAUAUCUUCCUCAAAACAGCCACCAUACCUACCUAUUAUGGCAUUUCCAUAGCCAUUCCGAGAUAUAUUGCCAUGCAACUUCCAUCAUCAUCAUAUACAUGACUUGAGCAUUUAUUGUCAUAUUGCUUUGCAUGAUUGUAAGAUAGCUAGCAUGAUGUUUUCAUGGCUUGUCCGUUUUUUGAUGUCAUUGCUACGCUAAAUCAUUGCACAUCCCGGUACACCGCCGGAGUCAUUCAUAUAGAGUCAUAUAUUUGUUCUAGUAUCGAGUUGUAAUAUUGAGUUGUAAGUAAAUAAAAGUGUGAUGAUCAUCAUUAUUAGAGCAUUGUCCCAGUGAGGAAAGGAUGAUGAGACUAUGAUUCCCCCACAAGUCGGGAUGAGACUCCGGACGAAAAAAAAGAGAAAGGCCAAAAAAAAAGAAAAAAAAAGAGAAGGCCCAAAAAAGAAAAAAAUGAGAGAAAAAGAGAGAAGGGACAAUGUUACUAUCCUUUUACCACACUUGUGCUUCAGAGUAGCACCAUGUUCUUUAUAUAGAGAGUCUCUUGAGUUAUCACUUUCAUAUACUAGUGGGAAUUUUACAUUAUAGAACUUGGCUUGUAUAUUCCAACGAUGGGCUUACUCAAAUGCCCUAGGUCUUCAUGAGCAAGCAAGUUGGAUGCACACCCACUUAGUUUCCAGUUUGAGCUUUCAUACACUUAUAGCUCUUAGUGCAUCCAUUGCAUGGCAAUCCCUACUCCUCACAUUGACACCAAUUGAUGGGUAUCUCCAUAGCCCGUUGAUUAGCCGCGUCGAUGUAAGACUUUCUCCUUUUUCCUUCUCCACACAACCUCCAUCAUCAUAUUCUAUUCCACCUAUAGUGCUAUGUCCAUGGCUCACGCUCAUGUAUUGCGUGAAAGUUGAAAAGGUUUGAGAACGUCAAAAGUAUGAAACAAUUGCUUGGCUUGUCAUCGGGGUUGUGCAUGAUUUGAAUGCUCUGUGUGGUGAAGAUGGAGCAUAGCCAGACUAUAUGAUUUUGUAGGGAUAACUUUCUUUGGCCAUGUUAUUUUGAAAAGACAUGAUUGUUUUAUUAGUAUGCUUGAAGUAUUAUUGUCUUAAUGUCAAAUGAUAGACUAUUGCUUUGAAUCACUCGUGUCUUAAUAUUCAUGCCAUGAUUAGAUUAUGUGAUCAAGAUUAUGCUAGGUAGCAUUCCACAUCAAAAAUUAUCUUUUUUAUCAUUUACCUACACGAGGACGAGCAGGAAUUAAGCUUGGGGAUGCUGAUACGUCUCCGUCAUAUCUAUAAUUUUUUAUUGUUCCAUGCCAAUAUUCUACAACUUUCAUAUACUUUUGGCAACUUUUUAUACUAUUUUUAGGACUAACAUAUUGAUCCAGUUCCCAGUGUCAGUUCCUGUUUGUUGCAUGUUUUUUGUUUCGUAGAAAAUCCAUAUCAAACGGAGUCCAAACGGAAUAAAAACUGAUGGAGAUUUUUUUGGAAUAUUUAUGAUUUUUGGGAAGAAGAAUCAACGCGAGACGAUGCCCGAGGGGGCCACGAGGCAGGGGCGCGCCCCAGGGGGUCAGGCGCGCCCUGGACCCUCGUGGCCACCCCGUAAGGCGGUUGGAGCCCUUCUUCCGCCGCAAGAAAGCUAAUAUCCGGAUAGAGAUCGUGUCCAAAAUUCAGCCCAAUCGGAGUUACGGAUCUCCGGUUAUAAAAGAAACAGUGAAAGGGCAGAAUCCAGAGCGCAGAAAUAGAGGGAGACAGAGAGACAGAUCCAAUCUCGGAGGGGCUCUCGCCCCUCCCAUGCCAUGGAGGCCAUGGACCAGAGGGGAAACCCUUCUCCCAUCUAGGGAGAAGGUCAAGGAAGAAGAAGAAGGAGGGGGGGCUCUCUCCCCCUUGCUUCCGGUAGCGCCGGAACGCCGCCGGGGCCAUCAUCAUCACCGCGAUCUACACCAACACCACCGUCAUCUUCACCAACAUCUCCAUCACCUUCCCCCAUCUAUCUACAGUGGUCCACUCUCCCGCAACCCGCUGUACCCUCUACUUGAACAUGGUGCUUUAUGCUUCAUAUUAUUAUCCAAUGAUGUGUUGCCAUCCUAUGAUGUCUGAGUAGAUUUUCGUUGUCCUAUAGGUAAUUGGUGAAUUGCUAUGAUUGGUUUAAUUUGCUUGUGGUUAUGUUGCUAUCCUUUGGUGCCCAUCAUAUGAGCGCGCGCGUGGAUCACACCAUAGGGUUAGUUGUAUGUUGAUAGGACUAUGUAUUGGAGGGCAAGAGUGACAGAAGUUUCAACCUAGCAUAGAAAUUGAUGCAUACGGGAUUGAAGGGGGACCAAUAUAUCUUAAUGCUAUGGUUGGGUUUUACCUUAAUGAACGUUAGUAGUUGCGGAUGCUUGCUAAUAGUUUCAAUCAUAAGUGCAUAGAAUUCCAAGUCAGGGAUGACAUGCUAGCAGUGGCCUCUCCCACAUAAAACUUGCUAUCGGUCUAGUAAAGUAAUCAAUUGCUUAGGGACAAUUUCGCAACUCCUACCACCACUUUUCCACACUCGCUAUACUAACUUUAUUGUGUCUUUAUCUUAACAGCCCCUAGUUUUUAUUUACGUGCUCUUUAUUAUCUUGCAAACCUAUCCAACAACACCUACAAAGUACUUCUAGUUUCAUACUUGUUCUAGGUAAAGCGAACGUUAAGCGUGCGUAGAGUUGUAUCGGUGGUUGAUAGAACUUGAGGGAAUAUUUGUUCUACCUUUAGCUCCUCAUUGGGUUCGACACUCUUACUUAUCGAAAGAGGCUACAAUUGAUCCCCUAUACUUGUGGGUUAUCAUACAUAUGCAUGCACAAGCUAUAUUGGAUUGAGUAAUGAUUUCUCAAUUUUCUAUCUUAUGUGUAUAAUUGUUUAUUGGUUCUUUUUUGUGGAAUGCCCCCUUAGGUUCCUUUGCCAGAGCUGUUCUUUCCCACUUGCAGUUACACUAUUUCUGCCUUUGCAAUCAAUAUGUCUAGGCGUAAGAUUGCAUUAUAUUCUUUUGCACUCGCACCCUCUGUUUUCCAUCAGCCUGCGACUGAGACCAUAUAUAUAUAUAUAUAUAUAUAUAGGCUCAGUGUAACUCGCAGUUCAGGCAAAGAUUGUUGUGUUGUACAGUGAAAAACAUUUUACACUGUUGUAGCCACAAAGAGCUUUUCAGAAAAUAUGUCUUGACUUCUUUAACAAACUCCUACAGUUACUGUGGAGUGGGGCAGUAGUGAACUCUAUUGUUUUCUUUGUUUGUUAGCAAGAACGGUUGAAAUUCUUGAGUAAGUAUCUGAUAACUCGUGGGGUGGUUACUGAAUGCAACAACAGUUUCUCCAGCAACUCUGUUUUUUUGUCCAUUGUUAUAUAAAAGUAACUAUCUGCAAAAACUGGAAUCUUAGAUUAACUAGAUGUGAAGUUGUCUAUUUGACGUCAAUUUACUCUUCACAACUUCACAUGUUCAGGUAGAAGUGUGCCGAUAAAACUAUACCAAUAUAAGUUCUACCAUAUUGGGGGAUGCACUCUUUUUAGCAACUUCUUUAUUGUGGAUUUAUCUUGGUUUAUUUGGUCUAAUAUUGGGCUGGUGCCACAUGCUCUAGAUUUGCCGUCGGAUUAUGCAUCACUAUCAAGAAGUCUUUCUGGCUGCUAAUUUGAAAUGACGUGCUGAUCUAUAGGCUGGUGCUCUAUUUUUUCAUCCCCUCGAUACUGGUAGUUGCAUGAUGAUUGGCCUACAAUUUUGAGAAGUACCUUGGAAUCACAGGCAAGUCCAGUAGCUAGGCUUCUACGGGCUCUAGCCUACCCUCGAAAAAAAGAGAUUCUUUUUUACUACUAAUCUUCCUCUCAGCCCAGCAGCCCAACACGGGAACACCAACAGCCCAAGUGCCCAACCAACACACGUAGCGAACAGCAACCCCACAGAGGAGACAGAGACGCCGCACGCUCAAGUGACCAGACCUAGGGUCGCCGCGUCGCCGGCGACAGACCAUCCAAGAAGGAGUCGGUGGGCUCCAUGCCUGCAGCGAGGCGUGCACGCGCCAACAGCGAGGCGUGCAUGUAAAUCUGGUGAACUAGUACUGUAAUUUUUUUACUUUAUGCUUUCUCCGGUGUGCUUUUAGUUUUAGAAAUGCAAUGUAUGAUUUCUUUUCAGCAGUAUUAACUGUCAAUUUGCAGAAAUGAAGAGAAAAAUAUGAGUAUGCACAGUUUUUUUGCAAGUAGUUCAAGCGCUCCUCGUGUCGAACCUGAACCUAUCCCAACCAUCCCAGCUAAUGGGAACCCAGAUCCCCUUCCCUUGACUGUUGUGAGCAUAGUUCCUCCUUCAACUAAUGAGAGAAAUGAUACCACAUUUGAUGAGAGUACAAACCAACCAAGGAAGCCUAUACUAGAAUUUCAUCCAAGUCAAAUUAUUCCUGAUCGAGGACUUAGAAUACCUAUUAGAAGAUUAUGCCCCUGAAAUUAGAAGUGAUGUGAGAAGAGCUUGUUUGUUGAACAAGCAAAACCAAGCUAGGACUUCUUUCCAGUAGUAUUCUGGGAAAGUUUGAGCACAUUUGGACAAAUGGACUAGGAGAUAGUAGUUAUUUAGCUAAGCAGAUUCAAAAUUUAAUAUUUUUCAAAAAUUCCAGAAAUAUUUCAGUAAAUACUACAUGUUCCAGUAGUAUUCUGGGAAAGUUUGAGCACAUUUUGCCAAAUAGACUAGGAGAUAAUGGCUAUUUAGCUAAGCAGAUUCAAAAUUUGGUUCAAAAUUUAAUAUUUUUCAAAAGUUCCAGAAAUUUUCCACUAAAUACUACAUGUUUCCAGUAGUAAUUUGGGAAAGUCUCAGCUUAUUUGGACAAAAGAAUUACGAGAUGAUGUUGUUUUUCUUCAAACAAACAUUUCAUUUUUUUCGCCGUUAACUUUGAGCCCACCCUCCAUUUUCUUUCUGGAUUCGCCACUGCUUGGAAUUGUACAAUGUUGGCAAUUUGUUGUAAUCUUUCUCCCGCUGAUCACAGCUUAGUCAAUUCAGCAUUGAUUUUAUUGUAUCGUAUCAUGAUUAGUCUUGCUUGAUUUGCUGCUUUCUUGAGCUUCGCUAGGUCAGGUAGUGCAUUUGCCACUUCAAUGAAGACUUACCAUCUUUCCUUUGCUGUAGUUUAAUUCUAGUUAAAAACAAAGAACCAUGUAAUAUCAUUUUUGUUUGUACACUUUAUCUUUAUAUGCUCAAAUACCACCUUUUGCUAUUCUAGAAAGCAGCAGCCCCUCCUCUCUCUCUCUCUCUCUCUCUCUCUUUCCAGUGUAGUGUUGCUGCUCUUGCUUUAUGGAUAGCACAGGUUGGUUGCCAUCAAAACUUCUCCCAGAUAUGUUUUAGGAAAUGAGUGUUUGUUGUUUUUUGAUGUUUUAGGAAACAUAUGUUAUCAUCGGCGAGUUUAGCUUACUGAUAGUGCUAGUGUUCUCAGUUUAGGAGUAGGACUCCUCCUCCUCCUCCUCCUCCUCCUCCUCUCUAUCUACUCUUUAGUCUUUGCAAUUAGUUUUUCUAAGAUGAUGCUACUAAUCGAUUAGUGAAUUACAUUUAGGGGAGAUAGAGUUGUUCAUGGAUGUAUUGGUUGUCUGUAACAAUUUGUGCAAAUGUUCUUUUGCUUGUUUGCAACUAUCAUCAUUUCACAAUCUGUGACAGCCCGCUACCUGGGUAGUACUGAACUUAAGCAAUAUUUGAUAGUCAGACCGUACUUACUCCCAUUAGACAGGAAAAUACCAGUAUGUCUAUCUAUGUAAUAGUGGCAACCAUGAUCCAUUUCAACCAAUGCCAGACAUACAUUAUGAAACAGAUGAAGUAAGGCUAUUCUGUCAUAGCCUUUUUAUUUUUCUCCCUGCUGCACGAGCGCAGAUGAUGCGAUUACUGCGGCUGUAUUUUUGUAUGAGACUCCGUAAGGACUCUGUGUUUGUUUUGUUUGGUCAUAGAUCUGGGUAGUAGGGUCACAUUCAACAUUGUAAAGUUUUUGGAGGAAAUGGUGGAAUGCUGAGUUUGAUUUCUGGCUGUUUUGUGCAGGUUUCUUUGUGACAAUCUGGAUUGCCGUGCUGAUGUCAAAGUAAAAUUAUAGGGACAAUAUUCCAUGAAGGUAGGCUGAUUCGAAGGUUCAUGCUUGUUUGUUGAACUUUUGGUGAUUUUGAGUAAUAAUGUGAAACCACCCCCUUUCGUUUCUGUGUUGGUUACUAUUCUUUACUUUUUUCCUCCGGCCAUCUUCAAUGUUCAAAGACAUAGAUGUAACUUUUGACCAGGGUUUCAGACUUCACAUGACGUGUAGUUAACUUUUGAUCAGCAUUCAACAUCAUGGAUGAUUUGAACUUAUUAUUAAGGAAAUACAUAAUAAGUGUAUAGUUAUUUUGAAGUUUGAAUAGCAAGUUAUGUUCAUAAAUUCAACUGCCAGAAUUAUGUACUGCAGACUAUCUAUAAACCAGAGUAUUGUAAAAAUGAUUCGAUGCAAGUUAUAUUGUAGCGUCCUGCAUCCAUUCAGAUGAGAUUUUGUAGUUUUUCCUGUUGUACAGCAACCACAUAUACCAUAAACCAGUUUCUAGACUAAAUUAUAGAAAUGAUGGGGAAAUAUGUACAUAACUCUCUACAAGUAGUUAUGUGCAUAUGCAUACACAUUUGUACAUUAGCAUGCACAAGCUAUAUUGAACCGAGUAAUGAUUUCUCAAAUUUCAAUCUUACUAAUAUAAUUGUUUAUUGAUUCUUUCCAUGGAAUGCCCCCUUAGUGCUCUUCCUUUGUCCUACUAAUUUUGCUCUGUUUUUUUAUCUUUUAAGUUUCCCCAUCUAUCAUGAUGGUGGAAGUGGAACUAUAUAGAGCAGCUGGAGAUACUUGAGAGUAUAACAAGGUCAGGGCUGUUCAUUCGCACUUGCAGUUGCACCAUUUCUGCCUUUGCAAUCAAUAUGAGUAGGUGUAAGACUGCAUUGUGUUCUUUUGCACUUGCACUUGAAGUCUUUGUGGCUGUUAAUUUGAAAUGAUAUGCUGAUCUAUAGGCUGGUACUCUAUUUUUUCGUCCCCUCAAUACUGGCUGCACUUACUGAUAGUUGCAUGAUGAUUUGUCAACAAUCUCGAGAAGUAUCUCGGAAUUGUACAAUGUUGGCAAUUUGCUGUAAUGUUGUUUCUGCUUCUGAUCAUAGCUUAGUCAUUUCAGCAUUGAUGUUAUUCUACUGUAUGAUGACUAGUCUUGCUCGAUUUGGUGCUUUCUUGAUCAUUUGCCACUUCAAUGAAUGGAAGACUUACCAUCUUUCCUUUAGUGCAGUUUAAUUCUAGUUAAAAACAAAGAACCAUGUAAUAUCUAUUUUUGCAUGUACACUUUAUCUUUAUAUGCCCAAAUACCACCUUUUGCUAUUCUAGAAAGCAGCAGGUGCUGUCAUACUGAGUUUAGCUUAUUGAUGAUUCUAGUUUGCCCAGCCUGCUACUAAUGGCUUCUCUCCACGCCUCUCUCUCUCUCUCUCUCUCUCUCUCUCUCUCUCUCUCUCUCUCUCUCUCUCUGUCCAGUGUAGUGUUGCUGUUCUUUCUUUAUGGCUAGGCCACGUAGGUUGCCGUCAAAACUUCUCCCAAGAUAUGUUUUAGGAAAUGAGUGUUUCUUGUUUUUUGAUGUUUUAGGAAACAGCAGGCGUUAUCAUCGCUGAGUUUAGCUACUGAUAGUGCUAGUGUUCUCAGCGCAAGGACUCCUCUUCCUUCUUUCUCUCCCUCUCUCUCUUUCUCUCUGUCUCAUGGCUGCCGGUGCACCACGUCUUCCAUAUGAUUCAAUUCAGUUUCUUCCCCCUCCAGCACCUCCAGCGGGCCUCACUUUCUGGGAGAUCCUUGGAAUCGCCCACAUCAUCAUCUUAGGUGUUGCUGUCCUUGUGAUUGUUGUGUUGGGUGGAAUUUACAUCCUGCUGAAGAUGUUUCUCAAGCAGGAGCGAAGCGACCCAGGAAACGACGGUGGCGGCGGGGAUGUGGAGCUCGCUGCCAUAGCAGAGCUUCCACCAGCUCCCCGGCACGACCCACACCUACGCCCUGUUGCGUGACUGCAUGAGGUAUGUGUGUCCUCCUGUUUCUCUUUCUGUCAACGGCUUGUUUGGUUGUCCAGAACCCCCCGAGAUCCUGGCAUAAUCCCUGGGGGAGGAAUCCAUAGCGUCCCUCCCAUCCUUGACUUCCUAUGCCUCUCUCCGGUGAUUGCCGCUCCCACAGCCUCUUCCUCAAGCAGAUCAUGUACCUGCUACCCAGCAUACGUGGCAUCUUCCCAGCUCAGAUCUCAGGACUUGUCCUCCUCUGACAUGUUCGGAGCACUUUUUUUGACACCUGAAACAGUAGGAGAGGCUCCUACUGUGUAAUAAAUUAAUAAGAAAGAGUACUGUACUAUAAGUUAGGAGAGACGAAGUCUUCUUUCAGUCUAGAAAGCCAGGAGUUUCUUGGUGGUAUCCCUCUGAAGUGCUUAUUGUUUCGUUCUUUCCAAAUGCUGCAAGCAGAUUGAAGGAAGAUCUACAUGAACAGUAGUGGUCUACUCCAUGAAUUUCUUGCUGAUUCAACCCAUUGGAGACGUGUACCUUGGCUGCAGCCCUGCAUGCCAAGUUCAGUCCAGCAGUUGAGACUAAAAGAGCAUUCGAAGAAGAGAUGCUCCACAGUUUCUUCUAAGCAUGUUGCACAUAGUAGGCACCCGAAGUCGUUCCCAAUGUUAUAGUGUCUUCUCUUUAGCACAUUUCUAGUGUUGAGCUUAUCAGAGAGGAGCAACCAACCAAAAACUUUGACUUUCAUUGUUGCUUUGGAUUUCCAAAUCCAAGUGUAGGCUUGAUGUGCUUGAAUGUCCUUGAAAUAGAAGGUGUAGUAUUUGUUGGCAGAGUAAUAUGGUGAUCCCCAUAUGCAUGUCCACUCAUCAUGGAUUAGUGGGUCUUGUCUUCACAACAUUAUAUUGUAUAUCUUCUAUGAGAGAAAAAAAAAUCCGAUGAACACAUCCAUUCUUACGGGGGGUAAGUAUAUCAGAGAAAUAUUGGAUGGCCACCCUCAACGGUGCCUUGAUAUUCUUAGGAUGGAAUCCCACAUCUUCCAAGCUCUAUGCGACCAUCUUAGAUCCAAAAAUAUUCUACGAAAUUCAAAAGGAGUUAGCGUUGAAGAGCAACUAGGGAUGUUUAUGUACAUGCUUUCCAGGAAUGCGAGUUAUCGUAUGCUGACAGAUAGGUUUCAACUAGGGAUUAUACUAAAGAUAAGUUUGUAAGGCUUAGUUGAGCGAGUAUUCCUUUGCAGCUCGGUUUUCAUCUGGCAGUAUUCCUAAUCAAUCUGGUGCUCUGAUCAUAGGUAUUGUCCUUGCUCCUUUUAUUUCCAUUAGGUGAAGCAUACCUUGCUUGCUCCUGGAGUCCCUUUGGCCUCAACGAGGCUCCGCUAGUGGGAGGGAGUAACAUAAUAUUCUGGACAUGUUUGUUAUUAUCCACAAUAGACCUGUGUUGAGAACUUGCAAUUCUUGGAGCUAUCAUUUUUGCAUUCAAAAUCAUAUAGACCUGCUGCUGUCUAGAACAUCUUUUCUUAUUUAAGAUGUUGUUUAUAUUGCUGCCAUGUUGUUUCUUCAUAUCGGUGUUUUUUGAAAAAUAAUAUGGUUUCUUUAAAUUUAGUGACAUGCUAUGGCUACCUUGUACCAUCUGGCUCCCCUUGGUAAUUCAGGAUUUUGUGCUAAUCUUUUUGACAUACAUGGUUGUUCUUGACAUGUGUGGCUGGUAUCCUUCAUAGAGCACAAAGUGUUCUUACAUAGCUAAUGUUUUUCAUUUUUUUCUUUUCAGGAUGUCCUUUCACAUGAUUCUAUGAUUACCCGAGUCCAUGAAGCAAUCAAUAAUCUUCCUGAAAUAUUUUAUGUCUAAGCGCACAAUGAUUGAACAAUUGCCUCAAUAAAUUUGGUUAUGUAGCAUGCGGAUGAGACGAGACAAGUAUGCCUCAAUAAAUUUGUAAAUUAAACUACUGACUUUGAGCACUAUGAGUUAUUGGAACUAUGUUCAAAUGGAUGAUUGCAAAAAUAUUAUCCUUUUUUUAUGUUGUUGUACUGUUAUAUAAAUAAAAAAAAUUAGCUCAUUUUAUACCUGUUCAAUUUGUGUGGAAGUGCAGUCUGUGCUGUUGAAAAUUCUGUACGUGUGUAUUAGAAAGUCUGUGCUGUUGAAAAGCUAUACAUUUGGGUGCCAUGCAAAUUUGAACAUAUAUAUAGUGUUGUAACUUGGGUGCCAUGUAUAUUUUACAACCGGAUUGAAACUGGAGCCAACUUACAAAAAAAAAAUGAGACCAACCCAAGGGCUAACCCUUGUUGUCAUUUUUUAUAGAAGAAACUCCGUGAGCACCGCAUGUCAAAGCCGGGGCUUGAAUUUGGGUGGGUUGGCAGCUACCCCAGCUGCCCAGCCAACAGGUCAACGCCCCGUCCUCAACUGGAGCCAACUUACAGGGGUGGCAGAAAAACAACAUUCCAAGCGGAGGCUAGAAGCGGAAUGGAAAUACAACCCUGUGGCAUGUAUUCGGUUGGAGGCUAGUAUAAUACAGGUGUAAAAUGUUACAGGGGUGGCAGAAAAACAACAUUCCAAGCGGGGCCUAAUGGGAAAAGUUAGGAAUGGUAUUGCUCUCGUGUGGCGGUCUACUCCUUGGAUGAUAGGAUUGCAAUCAUCUUGUUGCAGUCGUCGCAUCCUUUGGCAGGCAAGUAGAGAAAAAGGACUUCCGAUCUUCCCAUCGAGCAGCCGCUCCUAUGAUUUGCAAUUUACUCACAUGACAACAUCUUCCAUAUCAAGAAAAUUAAACUAGAAUAUGCUACUUUAUGACUCCGUACCUUUCUUUUAUUUUCAGAAAAUUCCAUACAUGAAGGUUGGAUUAUUUCCCUUUAUACCCUAAUAAAAUUGCAUGUUCGUCUUUGCAACUCAACCUGAAAAGUUAGUCAGUACUACUACCAUUUUUUUCUUAAUCAAUAAUUUUAGAUUAGAGUAGGGCCUCGUUGUUGUCACAUUCAAAUAAGAGGUCCCAUUCCAGUUUCCUAAAUAUAAGGGGGCUAUUUUCUGAGAAACACCGAUUACAAUGUUGGCGCACACACU